UUUUUUUUUUUUUUUUCCAUUAGCUAUGACUUUAUGUGGCAAACUAUAUAUGGUUUCCAGCCAACAAUUUUAUUUUUGUAAGUUACAGAAGAAUUAUAUACUCUACCGUUGAGUCCAAGAUUGAUGUGGAAAAUGUUCUAGGGCUAUGCAUGAACUCCAAUUGCCAACUUCUAAGGGUUUCAUUGUCUUAAGAAGUGAGUAAUGUAUUUUAUGCAAAAUUAUGGGUAGAAUUUCCAUUUGCUGUUUGUUUUAUAUAUGCUAGCUCUUUUUAAUUGAAGAUGAUGGAGAGCCAAAUUCUUGCUAUUUUAUAAUUCUACCAUGAAGUCAAAUCUUGUUUUUUUUUCUUUGUUUGAUUCCUUUUUUUUUUUUUCUGUUGGUUUUGGUGAUGGUUACAAUCAAAGUUAGGCCAACAAAUGCAAAAUAGUGUGUCGGGUUCAGGUUAUUAGCUGCACUAGUAAAAGAAAGACAGCAGAAAGAUUUAAUUGCAGACUAUCAAUUCCUGCUUUUCUUGUUUUCUUUAGAUCUAAUUUAAUUGGCUGUUGAUCUCUGUAAAUUACAAUUGCCUUGCAAUUCUAACAAAGUGCAGGACUUCUAAAUCCAUCAAAAGAACAUUCGAAAUGUAACUAACUGCUCUGCUCUGCUCUGCUCUGCUCGUGUGUUUCCAAUUGAAGUUGAAUCUAAUAAAUUUGAGUGCAUAUCAAUUCAGUGAUAAACGAAAGCAUAUCACUUAAUUUUGGAAGCAAGUUUUGCCUAGAAAAUUCAGUACCACUUAAUUAAUUCAGAUGUUCAAUGUUUGGUUAUCAAACAAUCUAAAUAUAUUGAGAUCUAAAUCUAUUAAGUUUAAAUGCUGAAUUGAGUUAUCAAACAAAGCCUAAGUUAUUGAAUUUGUUCUGGCAACCAUUUUUCUUAAUUCUUUCCUUUAUUUUUUUUUUUUGGCUAAACUAUUCAACUACAUCUCAAUUCUCACUUUGACUCUUAAAUCAUAAAUAUGGAUACUCUAGUCCUUAAACUAGUAAGACCAUUCCAUUUAAGUACUUGCGUUAAUGGAAUCUCCAAAAUUAAAGGCAAGAAAGGAUUUUGGGACUCCAAAAUAGGAGUCGAGUAUAAUUUAGGGAUUGAAAUAAUUCGUUUUAGAGUUUAGUGACCAAAGUGGGAAUCAGAAUAUAGUUUCUGAACUAAAGUGCUUGAAUUUAGAGUUCAGAGAUCAAAAUAAAAAUCAAAGUAUACUUGAAAGCUGCGAGGUUCUUUAAGAAAGCAAGAGGAUGAUUUAUUAUUGGGUUAGCAGUUAGCAGUGACAAUGCACAAUCUACUUCUGGAACCUGACUCUAAUGACUCUGUAUAAUUGAAAAUGACUCUGUAUAAGCUUUCACUGGACUGUACUAGUAUACAUAUAUAUACAGUCCUGUUACCUUCUAAUAUGUACAGUGAUUUACAAAAAAACACAGGAACAGCAGAGGAUUCAAAGAGCCUUCUGGUCAAGUCUCUCAUUCCAGUUCAAGCAACGAAUUAAGCUAUGAAACCAGUCACCAGUCUGGUCACACUUGUUCACAGUUGGAAGUGGAUGCUGGCUCAUUGAUAUUCGGACAGAAUCUCCUCUUGAUAAUUGUUGCCUUCUCUUUCCAUCAAAAGAAACCCAAGCAUUACUACGUGCAUCCUCAGGAAUCUGCAAGAUGGAAAGAAGAUUUUAAAGGAAUUGUUCAGAAACCGAAACCAGAAUCAAGUUUCACAAAGAAGGGCUAUCCCAAACAUCUGGUAACUUCUACACUUUGUUCUUCCUAACAAGUGACACUCUUCAAUUCUUUUUUUUUUUUUUUAUUUGGGCCUCUGACAGUUGCUGGAUUUGAAGAUUUUGCUGACUGGUACUCCCUAAUAACUACAGGAAUUCAAGCGAAGCAUCCCAGUUCAAGAAGGUGACUGUGUUACAUGUCAGAUCUAAAGGACCACUUACUGCUGUCCAUUUACCAGACUUUACAUUUCUGAUGACACAUAGACUUGCAGCUGAAAUUUCAAAUGUACAAUGAACACACUAAGACAGUCCCCUUUUUGUAGCACUUCUAAAGCUCUUAAAGACCAAAGAAGCUAUUCAAGCCAACAUCAUCAGAUCUGUUUUGGAAGAAUAUAAUGUCAAAGCAAUUGAUACAACUCCUUUGGCACAUUGAACGUUGAUAAUGUCGCUAAAACUCCCUUCUCUAAAACUUAUUUCUAGAGCUCCCAGACCAACAAACAUGAAGACCCAAGAGAGCCGAACUAUUAUAAUUGCAUUCCAUCAUCCAAACUAGGAAUUAACCACAUUCAACAGAGAAUCAAUAAAGAAUAAAUCUGUUUUCCACCAGCUAUUGAAUUUUUCAUAAAAACUAAAAGUUAUAAAUAUCACCUUUAGUUCAAGCCGGGCAGAGUCUGGAAGUAUGACAGGUCUAAAUGAGAGGGAGUGGGGGCAAAUUGGAGUGAAAAGCAUGCAUGGAACAUUUGGAUGCACCUGCAAUGGAAGCACCAUUUGUUACAGGCAAUGGUCUAUCAUGUGUUGAGCAGAAUAAUCAAAAUUAGGAAACAGCAUGAGAUUAAAAAAUCUCAGUUUCAUCACUUGUGGUUUAUCUUUCCAUCAUUGAUUGUAUGAUUAUCACUCACACAUCACAAAUCGGAUGACAUAAAAACCAAGGAAAAUAUACAAGACCAUUAAUAGAUAUCCUCAAAGAAAGUAGAUCAAAGAAAACUUGGAAGAAUAGACAUCAGCAUAUGAGGAAAAAACCAUAGGUUAUGAUUACAAGGUAAAAUCACAGUCGACCAUGGAGACUGAGUGUUCACUGGUAGUUACUCUUUUACUGCUCGCCGCUGUGGUCUAAGCUCUCAUCUCUCAUGUUCAUUGUUUGUGAUGAUGCAAUUAGCCAGCCUUCCUAAGAAGAUGUUAGAAGUCUAACUUGUUGACAUCAACCCAAAAGAAAACUAUAUAUUCUGAUAUUUCGAAUAUAUUUCUCUGCUUCUUGCUUCAAGUUUCUUGUAGCAGGGAAAUCUAUUCACACGUACUGUGUCCUUGAGAUAUUGAAGCAUUCCAUAUUCUGUCUGUUUCUAGUGUCUUUUUGUUGAUUUGUCAUUUAAAGCUCUGCAUUUUUUUUCCCAAACAUAAAGUUAAGAAAUUUGUUUGACACUCAUGCUUCUGCUAAGAAUUGUGCCUCUCAGAAUGUAAUUAUCUCACAUGCCAAAAAAUGAAAAAGGAAUUUGGAUGAUGAAAAUCCUACUCUGCUUCUAAGGAAGAUGCACACAUACACUGAUAUUACAAUCAUUGAACAUAAACAACAUAGUCAAGUAAAGACAACUUGACAAAGGCUAGGGAAUACGAAAACUAGUACAAAUUUGAUGCUCAAAUUGAUUGGCCUUGCAGGUCAUAGACAGCAUAAUUUGUGAACUCCAUGCAAAGUAUGAUUCCAGUCACAACAAUCUAAUCAUUUGAACAACUGAUACAAGCAGACUGCUCAAAUUGGCCCCUUAAUUCAACUUUACAUAUCAAAGCCAACUUGCAGUUUUUGACGUUAUUGCAGAUCUCAAAAAGUUUCCACAGCAACCCCCUCCCCCCCCCCCUCUCUAAAGCCCAAAAUAAAAGGUGAAGACCCCUGCUCUAGGUAAUGGCCUGAAUAAGAUAAGAACCUUAAAAGUCUGUAGGGUUACCGCUCCUGCACUUGCUCUUAGUCUGCAAACUGUUUCCCAGGAAGAAUAGCAAAUUUGAGCAAAUCAGCUAGCUAAGAAAUCCUUGCAUUUUCAACUUUCAUACAAAACCUAGUAAUCAUCAAACCUUCUAAGAUCCCUUCCAAUCGUCAGAUUAACCUCAAACAUCUAGUAAAACCUUUCAGAAACCCCAUCCCUUGGAAAAUUCUUACAGAAAGUCUGUCCUCAAGUGUAAUUUUGUUAAUCUUGUAUUAGCUCAUUUGUAAUUUCCCAGAAUUGUAAACCAGCAUCAGUUGAUCAUUCAAAUCAAAAUAGGCUGUCCAAACACACCAGAAGUUAACAUACAACAUGUAAGAAAGGACCCCGAGUGUAGGGAGGCAACUGCUUUGGUAGGUUAGGGGCAGCAGUAAGCGCUUUAACGUUAUUUUACUCAGCUUCAAAGCCCUUGAAACUCUUUUUCAAAAUUUUUUUUUUUAAGUUUCUCAAUUAGUUUAGUGGAAAAAAAUUGUAUUUAUUUAAACCAAGGAAUUGAGGGAAAUUUAAAACAUUUGUGGGUUCUGGCUCCACCCUCCUUCAGACUAACAAUCAGCAUUGUAAUUCUUUGACUUGAAGAUGAUGUGCACCGGUACAAUAAUUGUCAUUUUCAAAUAUCCUAAGUUUAACGACAAUUGCACCCGCAAAACUUUCACAUUACAAAGUUUGACCUUGAUUUCAACCAUUGGGGACAUAUAUUUACUCAUUCUGUACCGACAUAUAUGCACUCAUUCUGUACCUAGAUGAUUUUAAGUUCUCAAGCAAAUCUCCCUUGGUGUUCCCCCCUCCCCCCCAAAGGGCCAUCUUCCAGUCCCACCUCUGAAACCAUUUCUUUUGAAUUUCUACAUCAACAGGUUCAUAUCUUUGCAUUCAAGUACAAGCAAGCCUUACCAUUGAACCCCCAGCAGCUGUAGAGUAAGCAGUACUUCCUGUCGGUGUGGCCACUAUAACCCCAUCACCUUGCACCUAUCGAAUUAGUAGACAACAUCAAAGUUUUCAAGAAUUUCUGGCCUCAAAAAUCACUCAGUACUGAAGUUCUUAGAAAAUGUACCUUUGUUAUAAGCCGGUCAUGUUCAUAGCAUUCAAUUUUUGAUAGAUAUGGAUUAGAACCACGAUCAACUACCACUUCAUUGAGGACAUCGAACAGUUUUCCUGGCAUUGCUUUUCCAUUUCGAAAAAUCUCACAGCGAAGACGCAUUCGAAGAGUUAUAUAAACACCAUCCACUGUGUUGUUACCAUUAAUGACUUGUCUUAGGUCCUUCUUACAAUCUUCAAACUGAAUAAAAUGAAUAAGGAAUCACAUAAAAGCUCCCAUGCAGAAGAUUAUAUUGAAAAGAUAAGUCAAGAGACGUACAGUAUGAGAAGUAAGAAAUCCAAGAGACCCAAGAUUAAAUGAGACGACAGGAGGAACGGCAUCUCUGAAUAUAUUUGAUGCAUGAAGAAUAACACCAUCUCCUCCCAAACAGGCAACAAAAUCAACCCUCUCAUGAAGAUCACUGAAAGAAAAAUUCCAUGUAAGGAUAGCACACCUCUAAAUGUAGAAUUUGAUUGCAUUUAUUGAAAACAUAUGCAUCUCUACUAAACAUAAAUAAAUGCACAAAAUAAAAGCCAUAGCAUCAAUAGUCAGUUCUUGUACCUUGUAUCUUGGCUAUAGAAAGUCUGAACAAACCCAAAACCAGGGAUUCGAGCGAAAAUGUCAUGCACCUCAGGUUCAACAAGAACAUUCAUUUCUUCUUGGUAAUACAAGAAACGGGCAACCUGCAGUAAAAACAUAUAAUACUGCUGAAAAGGCUGCAGACUAAAGAAAUGAAAUUACACACGUGCAAGUAAACCCCCCCCCCCCCCCUCUUCUUCCGAUAGAGGAGUGGAAGGAAAAAAGAAAAUGUGACCCUCGGUUGCCAAAGGAAGUCAGAUGUGUAAUAUUCAAUAUGCAAAACCAUGUUUUGACGUUUUAGUACAUCCAACAAGAAAUCAUUCUCUGCAAUCUGCAAGGGCAACACGCAUGCAUACAUGCAGCAAAUAUGAAGAAUCAUGUAUGAUAUCAGAAGCAGUCAAGCUAGAAUCAAGGCCAGUAGAAGAGAAACAAAAAUGCACUUGGGUCUCACUAUCUUUGCUGCAGAUGGUAGACAGAGAAUUGAAUUUCUCAUGACUACUUUCUAUAAAGCUAACAACCCAAGAGAUGUGGAAAAGCUAACAACCCAAGAGAUGUGGAACAGUAAGAAUCCACAAAUUUGAUGUAUAAAAUCUCACGGCAAUAUUAGGAGCAAAAGUAGCAUAAACAAAUAAUUAAAUCAGUUUUAGCUACAUAAUCCAUAUUGAAUGUGGUAACGAGUACCUAAAAAUGCUUACUGCAAUUAUGCUCUCCUGAGACUUACGAAAUACCCAAGAAUUGUAAGACUAAAAGACUCUAAAGACCUGAUACUCCUCAAAUUACUGAAAAGACCUAAAAGAAAAUAUUAAUGCAUAUACAAAUUAUAACAAGACGAUUGAAAUUCUUGAUGACCUGACAACCAUAAGUUUAGCACACCGAUAUAAGAGUUACUAUUGAAAAUCAUGGUACUAACAGAAACUCAUCACAAAGCUUUACUAAUUUUUAUUCCAGAAUUUGAAGUGAAUUUGGGACAAACUGCAGAGCAGGCAUGAGAUUUCCUCUCUCUUUACUACCUUGUACAGUGAUCUUGACCUCUACAAGCAUCAAGGAGGUCUCAAAGACAAUGAACAACUAUUAAAAUCAUUGUACCUACAUGAAGACUAAAAGAUGAGCAUCAGACCACCCUCAAGUAUAAGAAGCAGGCUCAGAGCUGAAAGUAAUGAAUAUGCACGUUAACGGACCCUAAACUUAGAAUUGAUCAGUAUUGCAGCUUGCUAAAUCUAGCUAGAUGACAAAACUUACAAUAACAGAGAAGAUACUAAUCCAAAGUAAAACUAGCCCAUACAAAUAUUUCAUUUUACCAUAUAUGUGACACUAAAAUUAACCAAAGCAUGCAUGAUGCCCCCUUUAAGGUAUCUACCGCACUAACAGCUGCACCAAAGAUAAACUAUUAGAAGAUACACAUUGUAAAAGGAGGAAGAUGGAUAGGACAACAUAAUCCACAUACCUACUAUCAUAAACUUUUAAGCUAUUAAAUAAGACUAAGGCAGACUACCUCUUUAGCUUCUUCCAUGAGUUCUUGUCCCAGCUUCUUCAACAAUAAUACAGUCUUUGGGGGAGAUUUCCACAAUAGCAUCUGCUGUUGCGUGCUAGGGUGAGUGAAGGCCAAUGAAGAUUCUGUAACCUUCUCUCUGGCACAAGAGAAUCCAUCUGUGCGUACCAAGAACAUCUCUGCUUUUUUCCUAGAUUGCACUCUCACAACACCAGUUGCAGAAGCACACAUGUUUCCUUCAAUGACCUCCAAACCAUCAUCACCCACAGAUACAGAAGCAACAGGAUUGCUCCUCUGCUCUGUAACGUUUGCUGAUGGAACCUUCUUAUCCAACUCAUAUCUUGAAUUCACAAACCCAUUUUUUUGACUAGCAGAAGACCCAUUAUCAUUGCUCAAUUCAUUCAUAAAGGAGGAGGAGGAAGAAUUAUUACCAUUGAGAUAUGUUCCAUCACUACCAGCGGAAGCCGCAAUCUCUGCAGAUGAAUUAUUGCUUCGAAAUGAACCAUUUGAAGUUUGGGCUUCAGAAAGUCUGAUUCCAGAGUAUCCAGCAUAAUUUUCAUUAUUUUCAUUUCUCCAAGAUGUCUUAUUCAAGUUAUACAUUGAAGAAGACAGCUUCUCAAGUCUAUUCCUUUCAUAAUUAAAAUAUGUCAAUGGUGCAAGUUUCCUAUUUAUAAAGAAUCCAGACAUCUCUUUUUUGGAGAAGAUGUUAGAAGGAGGCAGCUGAGACUCAAGAGGGUUCACAUUACUAUCAAAGUCCAUUGGUAACUCAGCUCCUUGUUCAUUUAUAGAAAACUCCAAAUCUCGAUGGGAUACUAUUGUACUAUUAUUUCCAUUGUUGCUGGAGUGUUGCUUAUCCGUAGUAAGAUAUUCCCCUGAAGAACUACUAGUCUCAUUCAAUUUACUGGGUCUAGAACCAUUUUGAUCGUCAUACUCCAUUCCUCCUUCAGACUUUUGAGAAAUGCAAUAUUUUUCCAUGCCUUUAGUAUCAAGGGACUGGACAUCCAUGGAAGUAACUGCUAUACGCGGAACAGUUUGAGAUCUACUGCGAGCCAUGUAAUGUCUCCACCUUGACACCAAAGCUGAUGUUCUCCAUACUCCUUCCUUACUGUGGAGAUAUAUGGGCCUUUUGCUUGAAUCUGACAGCAAAGCUGCAAACUCUUCGACCUGCUUCAUUGAAGGAGCGGUACCAACUUCAACAGGAAGUUUGACAAAUUCAAUCCUCCCAGACAAGGUAGCCUCAUGUAGCUUUGUUUCAUAAAAGAUGUCCUUCACCGUCUCUGCUCUAAGAUCCACAAUGGUUUUGAAUCCUCUCUCCAGAAGCCAUUCUAGACCUUCUUCUGUUACCUGGCCACCCCUCCAAAAAGCAACCUCAGAAUCUGACGCUGUAUCUUCUUUUGAAGUCGACAAAUAAACAGGAUUCCAGUUUGCAAAUAAUGUCUGGCAGGGAUCAUCACCCCGACGGGGAAAUCCAGAGUCAUAACAUGCAUUUUUCAGUUUUUGCAAUUUCCGCCAUACAUCCACACUUCGAGCAUCAUCAGGUGUUAAAUAGCCUUCAAGAGCAACAUGCAAGCUCUCACAGUACCUUUUCAUUUCACCCCUAAAACUGGCAAGGGGUGGAAGUGUACCUUCCAUUAGAUUUACAUCUGAUUCACGAAAUGAAUUCACGGCUGAUGCUCUUCCAGAUAGAACAUCCUCUCUUCCUUUAUUUAAGAGACAUACCAUGCAACCAAGAACAGAAACCAUUUUCUCUUCCAGUAAGGAUUUAUCCUCUGAUGGUAUAUCAUAUGAAAUGUUGCAUUCUCCAGUCAAUGGGUUGCAUAAUGUGUCCAUUAAUGCGUUAUGAAACAAUUCAGCAGCUCUAAAGAUCCUGCAAUAAGCUUCCACUUCAGCAAUAUCCCCAGGAAGUGGGCCAACCAAACGUGAUAGUGAUAACUCACGGGUCUGGAUAGCCUGCAAGUCCAAAAAAUUGUUAGUCCUCAAUAUAAAUUGAUGACUCUCACUCUGUUUUGCAAAAAAUAUUAAGCAGUAUUAACAGAAACUAGACAGCUAAGGAAGGAAAACAAUAUUUAGCAAAGCUUUCGGUAUAUCAAGUACAGAAUCUAAUAAAAUCAAUAAUACCAUCACAGGUUAAAAGCUCGAGCAACUCAAAUACGUUUCUGAGAUGAUACAAAUUGCUGAAGUAGCACAUUGCUGACACAACUCAUUUCAAACAGGGUAGAGACUUUAGGAAACUAAGCUCAACAGAUAGUAUUUUGGCGAGAUUAAAGAUUAACUGUCGUAAUCAUGUGAAUUUUCAACGAGAUAAGGAAAGUCAUGUUGUUGUAUAACAAGGAACUCUACCAUUGAGAAGGAUCAUGUUCCACUUUUGUGUAUUAAUCGACUACGUUAACCAAUAUAUCUUUAGAUCUACGAGAAUAAACUAAAGCUCAAAACCCAUCAUUGCAAAUGAUUUAGUACAUAAACAAUCUUAAAGAAUACUUAAGCGAAUUUACAGCGAACUCUCAUUUAAUCCAUGAUCCUCAAAUUCGCAAACUCAGCUGGUCAUCCAAAUGGCCACAAAAUUAAGCCUGUAAAAAGAUUUAAAAAGCAUGGCUUGCCUCCUCCAAUCUUCUCACCCGUCUUUUACUUUUCUGGGAUGCUAAAAUUUCAACCUUUCACUUAUUUUGCAUGAACAGAAAAACAAGGAAAAAAAAAGUGACUGCUUUUGACUUAAUUUAAGCACAGAAAAUAAACCAUCGCGUUAAUCAGAAACUUACUAAUCUUUUCCAAGCCACUUGAUCAUCAAUUCCAAUAACCAAGCUCUAUCAUUUUCACUAACACUCCAAAAGAAUAUUUUAAAACAAAAUUUAAAUCAUGAAACCUCUUGUUCUAUCACUCAUUUUACCCGAACCCAUUUUUUCACAACUAUAAAUAUAUAUAUAUAUAUCAUAAUUCGAUAUUGUGGCAAAAUAUAUACAAUUGAAAAAAAAGAGCUAUGAAAACAUAUAGGCUAAAUAAAAAUAACCCAGAUGAAGAUUUCAAAAACUAAAGAAAAUGGCAAAAGUUCACCUGAGAAUUGAAGCCACUGUUGAGAGAAAAGGAAUUGGAGAGCUGGGAAGCUGCUAAGACCCUCAAACGGCGUCGUCCAGCUGCACCCUUGUUCUUCCUCUGCAACAGAAACCCAAACCCAAACCCGGAAAUCUUGGUCCAUUUCAGCUGCUGGUAGUGAAACAGAGGAUGGUUAUGAAUAUGGGUUCGGGUUGGCCCGCCAACAAUGACCCGAUUCAUGUGCAAGUGAAGAAUCAACAGAUGUUGCUGCUGCUGCCAUACCACCAUUAAACUGAGGAGGAAAUGUUUUUUUUUAUAGUCUGAAUAUUUUUUGUUAUUUGGGUGUGAAUGUGCAUGUGUUGAGUGCGUGAAGUGCGUGUGUAUAUUUUUUAAUAUUUAAUGGAUGGUUAUGAGAAGUGUUUGGAUUUUGGAUAUUGGAAGAGAGGGAAAGGGAAUAAGACUCUGGAUAAUAUGGAUAGGGAUUGUGGUGGGGCUAACUACAAUAAUGUGGUAUGUUCUGUUCCAAUAAUUUUGAGUUGGAUGAAAUUUUUGUGUACCAGGAUGGGGUUUGAAUUGAAUUUUGUGGUUGUGCAUAUCCAUUUUUUGGAUUUGAUUUUGUUAUUGUUAUGGAAGUUUGGGGAACUUUGGGUAUUGACAAUUUUGAUGUGAUGUUGGUGCAAAUGCAUGGUGGAAAAAUAGUUUUGAGGAUGAGGAGGAGCGUGCUUCUAAUGUUUAUUUUGGAUAAUGAUGCAAAGUCACAAAAUGAAUUUUUGAAUAUGAUGUACACAUAAGUAUUUAAUAAUGAAAAUAUAUAUCUAGACUCAGUUUAGCGAUGACAAUGGAUAGGAUAAAAUAUGGAUACUCGAUUUAAUGAUUAAUCUAUGACGAAUGGGUAAUUCAUUAAGAAUUUGGUAUUUGAUGGGAAGUUAUGGAUGAAUAAUCCGACAAGAUUUGGUGAGAGAACCUUAAAAACUUGAUACUCCAUACCUUUUAUGUAUAUAAAUUCUCUUUAGUUUGUAUUCAGCUUGCACACAUAUUUGUCUUGUAGACUAUUAUUUAUUAUAUUUUAUGUACAACCCCUUGUUAGAAAAAUAUGGAAUUCAAACAAUUCAAACAACUAUUACUUAUCAUGUUUUACGUAUAAAUCUUCGUUGAAAAAUAUGAGAUAGUUGUUUGAAUCUUCUUUUGGAAGAUUAUUAAAUUUAUCUUUCAAUAACUGUUAAAUUUUUCUAUAUCGCUAUCCAACUUUAAAAUUCAAUGUAGUAUGUUAAUUUAACAUGAUAUGUAUUGAUUUUAGUUUGAUAAAAAUUAAUUCCUUUUUUUUUUGAACCAUUUAAAGGCAUGCCAUGAAUGCAUGUAAUGUUCUUUUAAUUACUUUUAAUUUAUAGUACAUACCAAUUAAGUACAUAAUAAUCCCUACUCUAAAAUGGUUUUUUUGCUAAGAACGCGAUUCUAGAGUCAAGAAUUUUAACUAAGUGGAAACCACCCUAAUGAAUGGUUGAUUUCCAAGAACAUUCAUCUUUCUAAAAUCAAUGCAAAUAAGUGGAAAAAUACAUCAAACUUUAUUUACUUGAUAGGUGAUGGAAAUCUAUUUUACAGAUUAAACAUGGAAUUGUUAGAAAAGAACCCGAAUCAAAAGCAAGAAAUCCCAAAAUUACACUAGUGAGGCAUCACGUCUCUUAGCUCAAACUCACAAUUAAAUUGUACACCAAAUUGAUUUUUGCCACAUGGAAACACUAAAUACCUUUGAAGCUUAAUCUUUUUAUGAAAAAGUGUUGAGAAGUGGGCUAAUCAAAGGGCAUGUGUUGUAGAAAUAGAUCUACCCCGUUUGGAUUGCUAUUUUUAAAAGUUCCUGUAGAAAAAUAUACUAUAACGAUUUGAUGUAUAUGAAAUUAAAAAGUAAUUGAAAAAUCUGUUCAUGUAAAACGUAAAAAAUAUUUUUUUUAACAGAAAAUCACAAUCCAAACAACGCAACGCAACAGAAAAUGUAAAUUAAACAAUAAAAUUAGCUAUAAUCAUGGGAGUGAAACUCCCCUAAAAUCCUAAAAAUAAACACUAUAACAACUUGAGGGAUUUGAUUAUACAACAUGUAGACCCUCUCCUUUGCCAAAACAUUCACGUACUUCUUGCAAUCUUGCCCGUAACUCCCACCAAUCAUUGAUGACAAAUUGAUAAUUGAUAGGACAAGAAGUAUGAGAUUUUAUUUUAUUUUUUUUGAAGCAUGAAAAUUAGGACAACCAUGCAUAAGUAGGUGUAAAAUGGCUUUUGCAUCAACAGCCUGAAUUAUAAAAUGACAAAUAUUAUUAUGCAAUGGAAAUUAAAAUCCAUCCCUUAUCGCCCAAGCAUCUGCCACUGAAUUUGAGGCUCAUCUUAAAUUCCUACCAAAAAAUCUCCAGCAUUGGCUUUUUAGUGACACCAAGUGAAGCCCCGUGUUUCUGUUGAGUUUGGCAACUGGGGCUAUAGGAUAGGAACAAUUGACUAGAAUUCCUAUUUUUUUUCAAAGUUCUUAGCAGAUUAGCAAGUCCAACAUAGCAAAAUUCACAAGCAAACAAAUGAAGAAGGAUACAUCACCUCCUUAGGCCUUGAUGUAUAUUGGCAAAAGGAAAACGAUGGAUCAAGGAACUUGAUGCAGAUUAGCACAAAAAGAUGUCCAAAAUACUUUAAGCCAAUAACGAAGAUAAACGUUAGCCAUAUCAGGAUGGUUACAUGAAAAAAAGACAGAAAACUCUAGAACUGAAGUGCUUGAGGAGAUUUCAAUAACUAGAAAACUACACAUUGAUCUUUUUUGUAGAGCUUUCAGAAGAAUGGCCCUCUGGUCUUGGCAAACAAACAAUCCCCUAAUAAAACCUUUGUGUGGCAAACACUAGCGAAAAUAUACCACCCAUAGAACAAUGAAGCAGUAAGAUGCUAUUGCUUUACUUAAGUUCAUGUAUAACUGAUAAGAUAUCUAUAGGUGACAAUCAUUUAAUUUGGUUUACAAAUAUUUUUGCUCAAAAUUUCAAACUAUUUAUGUAGUACCAACUUUCCUCUCAGGCACAAGUAUCUUUCCUAAAUCUUAUGCAACACCUAAAAGGGCACUUGGUUUAUGCUUUGGAAUUGGAAUUGGAUACAAAAUGGCAUAAUGCAUAUAAAUCUUAAGGCAUGAGAAAUUAAGAAUGAAUAAUAUAAAAAAUAAAUAUGCAAAAAAGAUGGAAAUUGGUUAAAAUUGCAAUUGAAUAUUGAAGAUCAAAAUAGAAUUGAUAUUGUUUUAACCAAAAUUUAAUUGAAAUCAAAUUCACAAAAAUUGAUGGAGCAAAUUUGCUUUAAUUCGGUCAAAAGUUUGAUUAAAUCAAAAUUGAAAUUUUUCUUAACUUAAAGGAUGCUAAGUGAUAUUGUCAAUAACUUUAGAAGAGGUUUCUGAAAUUAUCCCUUAUACUGUUUGAAUGGUAAGCUUUUUUAGUAUUUGUAUAAAAUUUUACUGUAACUUAUUAUAAAAUUUGUAGAAAAACUUUUGUGGAGAUAUUGAAAAACUUUUUUAUUUUUUCUUUUCCUUUUAUGUUUCUUUCUUUUUUCUUUUCUUUUCUCUUUUUUCCUUCGUCCCUCCCACCACCCAUUAGGAGUGGGCAAAAUUAUCCGCUAACCCGAAAACCCGUCAUAUUCGGUCCAAUCCGAAAAUUAGGAUAUCCGAUUUUUAUUAUUUGAUCGGGUCAAAAGAGGGUCGGGUACCCGUUAAGAUGCGGGGUGAGUUAGAGUCACAUAAUUAAAAACCCGCGAAUACCCAAUCCACCCCGCAUAUAUAUUUUUUAUUUUUAUUUUUAUACACACUAUAAAAUAAUAAGUUAAAACUAAAUAAGUAAUUUUAUUGAACAAAUUGCAUUACAAAUAUGGGAGACUAUAGUUUAUUUACAAGAUUCAUUUGUAGAGGUCAUGAUCUUAUAUUUUAUAGAAAAAAGUUUAAUUAAUGUGGAACAUAUAUAUUAAAAAUUAUGCUACUUAUUUCAAACUUUUAUUGAUUUUCAAUUCUUUUAAUUUUUUUUCCUUUAUCUUAUAUUCUCUUCACAUGCUUAUUUCUUGGUGGGAAACCAUUUUUUAGAAAAAAAAAUUAUUAAAUCUUAGAUGAAUGUGUAAAAUAUAAAAUUAAAUUGGUAUAAAUCAUUUUUUUUUUAAAAUUAAAUGAUAAAUGGGACGAGACAGGUACUUACUGACCCGACCCUAUCUCAACGAGUACCCGAUUAUCAGUACCCGCUGAUAUGCGAGGUGGGUAAGGGUCAAAAAAUGGCUAACCCGCAAGGUGUGGGUCGGGUCAACCAAAUGAUGAAUGGGGCAGAUACCCGACCCGCGCCCACCCUUACCACCCGUACUCCAACCGCCAAGGGCCUAACACCUCUUCCAGUGCCAGUGCCAUUACUACUUCUCCUCUUCUCUCUCUCUUCCUUCUUUUUCCCCCCUUCCUUUGGAUUUGGUCUGGAUUCGGCAGGGGAGGGGAAACGGGAGUCGCGGAGGAUGAGGAAGAAGAAGGGGGAGGGAGCGGCAAGGGCCCAACACCCAUAUUCCAGCCACCAAUGGCCCAACACCUCUCCCAGUGCCAGUGCCAUCACCACUUCUCCUCUUUUUGUGUGUGUGUGUGUAUGUCUCUCUCUCUCUCUCUCUCCCUUCCUUUGGAUUUGGUAGGAGAAGGGAAACGGGAGUCACAGAAGAUGAGGAAGAAGAAGGGGGAGAGAGAGAGGGAGUGGCAAGGGAAGGGGGAAAUGGAAGGAGGGGAAAGAAAGGCAAUGAUGUUAAACAUGGAUCUCAUAAUGAUUCAGCUAAACUAUUGAAUCAGGAGUUAACUGGUCGGAUUAGGCGAACCAUAUUUUUAAACUCAUUGACAUUGGCAUAACAUCACAAUGAUUUUAUAUUUUUAUAAGUUUCAGAAAUAUUGAAAUUAAGUUCUUGGUUAUAUUCGAUCAACCAUACAAAAUGUUACAAAAAUGUUACGCUUGCAAUCAAAUAUACACCUAAAAAUUAUAUAUAAAAUUGUGAAAUUAUGUCUAAAAUAUGUUCAUUCUCCAAAAUUACUUUAAAAACUAAAUUAAAAAAAACUAUAUCUAAUUCGAGAUCUUUUUGGUGGGAAUAUGGCUUUUAUAACGCAAGUUGAAAUCACUGAUGAUAAAUUGAUAAGAUAAUAGGGAUGAAAAUUCUUGAUUUAGAGAUUAUUUAUGGAAAUGAGUGAUUUUGAUGUUUUUACAAAGUAGUUGGCAUUUUUUUUAUUCCUAUUAAUAAAUAAAAAUUUUACAAUUUAGAUAACCCAAAUUAUGUUUCGGGAAAACAAGAAAGAAAUACUUGAGAACCGGGUCACUUGUAUGCCCGAUUUUUUACAUUUUUUACUGAUUUUUUUUUAUCAAAAUGAUUACGCGUUACUAAUCAAUUCAGAAAGAAAACCGGUUCACAGUCGGACAAAUCGAACUAGCCAGUCUGGUCCAGAUCUAACAACACUAGAGAAAGGAAAAUAGGAGAAAGGAAGAAAGAGAGUGUGUGUGUGUGUGAGAAAAAUAGAGGAAUUGAAGCGGCGGGGGCAAAAAACUGAGGCAAGAGGGUUGAGGAGGGAGGGUAGUGAUAGAAGAGAGGGAUGGGUGUAUAUUUUUUAGUAUUAUGGGAUGUGUACUUCGAAAAUUUUGUGGCUCUUUGAGGUUACUAUAGACAAAAUUAGAAAAUUUUUGGCUCCAUAUGAAUUAGAUGUUUUUUAGUGUGUUCUUCAAAAGCUUUACUAUAGUAGUAUUUAUGAAAAACUUUUAUAUAAUAAACUGGGGAAUGGGAUGGGACAGGGGAAGAGGAGAAAGGAGGGGAAUGAAAAGGGAGAGGGAGAGGCAAUAGUGGUAGUGACAAUGGAGGAGAGAGGAGGAGAGGAGCGGUGGCAAUGGUGGAUGAGGUAGUAUGUGAUGAAUGGAAACAAAAUGUGAUAGUAUUUAUGAAAAACUUUUAUAUAAUAAACUGGGGAAUGGGAUGGGACAGGGGAAGAGGAGAAAGGAGGGGAAUGAAAAGGGAGAGGGACAAUGGAGGAGAGAGGAGGAGAGGAGCGGUGGCAAUGGUGGAUGAGGUAGUAUGUGAUGAAUGGAAACAAAAUGUGAUAGGAUUUUUAAAAGUAUUUUUAUAAAUUGUAUUUGAAAUUGUGUACAUUUUUUGAGUUUUUUUGGGAAUUAUUUUUGGAGUUAUUACUGUAGACUUUACAAACAAAAACAGUUUUUUUAAGGAAAAAUUGCAAAAACCUCCCCUGAGAUUUCUGACAUUUGCACUGACCUCCCCUAUCAAUUUUGAAAUAGCAUUAACCUCUCCUAGAAAAAGUUGGAGCCAAUUUAAAAGGUAAAAGUGUGUGAAUUUACUAGAGUACCCCUAAUUGUAUUUGACUUUACCAGAUUAAAGGUUUGAGUACUUUCAUCAAAACCAACGUUUAAUUUAUUAAACAAAUUAAACUAAUCAAACUAUUUCUGCAUAGUUAAAUUAAUUAACUAAUUAACUAAUUAAAUAAUUUCUAUUUAUCUAAUUAACUAAUUAACUAAUUAUCUAAUUAACUAAUUAACUAAUCAAACUAUUUCUGCAUAGUUAAACUAAUUAACUAUUAACUAAUUAUCUAAUUAACUAUUAACUAAUUAACUAAUUAUCUAAUUAAUUAAUUAACUAAUUAACUAAUUUCUGUUUAUCUAAUUAUCUAAUUAACUAAAGCUGUUGUCUGUCCGAAACUAACAAAUUAUUUGCAUGUUAAACUAAUAAACUAAAUAACUACUUAACUAAUUAACUAAUUAACUAAUUUCUAUUUAUGUAAUUAUGUAAUUAACUAAUCAAACUAUUUCUGCAUAGUUAAACUAAUUAACUAAUUAUCUAAUUAACUAUUAACUAAUUAACUAAUUAUCUAAUUAAUUAAUUAACUAAUUAACUAAUUUUUGUUUAUCUAAUUAACUAAUUAACUAAUUAGUUAAUGCGCUAAUUGGUUAAUUAGCUCCACAGGCCAACGAAAUUGGUUAAAUAGCGCAUGAAAUAUAAAACCUGCCAGUUUCCCAUAAAGAGCUGGUAUGUUAUGGGCAAAUUUUUUUUUUAACUUUCACAUAUUUAAUUUAUGUUAAAUACAAAACAUACUAGUUUUCCUUUGGGCGCUAUUUAACCAAUUUUUCCCAUAAAGAGCUGGUAUGUUUUUCAUAAAGAGCUGGUAUAAAACAUAUUACAAAACCUGCCAGUUUCCCAUAAAGAGCUGGUAUGUUAUGCGUUAUUUAACAAAUUUUUCAUAUUUAAACAAAUUUAUGAAAAUUAAAAUAACGUAUUUGAAAGUUGUAUUUUUAUUUGGAAGAAUGCAUUCCUUCGAUGCGUUUUUCACCCUUUGGGAAGAGACUAAAAAAUCGCCACCCUUUAGAAAGUUAGUUUAAAAACUCUCUUUUUUUUUGGAAAUUUACUCCUUAUUAAUACAGCCACUAUAUUUAUUUUCUAGUAUUAAUUUUUGUUGUGGUUUAUAAUUUUCUUAUAUUUUAUCAAAAAAGGUAAUAACUAUUGUAGUUACAAUUAUGGAGAUAUUAAUUUGUCGUAUGUGUAAUUCUUUUGUUUUUAUAAGAAUUGUUAUAUCAUGGGUAAAUUUGAAAUUUAAUUGCAUUUAAUUUCGAAACACUCAUCAAACCAAGUUAGGUAUUGGAAUGAAAAAUAUGUUACAUUUAUACCCCCUGAACUUGCUUGAUCCUUAAUGCCUAUGCCUCUCCCUUGUUAAUACUAAUUGUCAAGCAAGAUCAGGGCAAAAUUGGAAGAAACUUCUUAUCUCACUUCUACAAAUAAUUUUUUAAUGGGACAUCAAGCCUCAGGGGAGGUUUCUGCAACGAAUUGUUCCUGUUCAGGGGUGCUGAAUGCCAUUUCUAAACCUAGAGGGGAGGUCAGUGCAAGUGUCAGAAACCUCAGGGGAGGUUUCUGCAAUUAUCCCUUUUUUUAAUCUAUUAAAAGCUAGCAAAAACUCAAGGAUCCAAAUAGACUCCUAAGGUGGUUUUCGAAGUUGGACAUUAAAAAGUGAGAUCAUCUAAGAAUGUUGGGCUGGCUCAUUGAAGAUCACAUCACAAACUCGCGACCAAUAAAUCAUUAAAGUCCACUUACGGUCCAUUUAGGCCCAUUUCUUCACAUGCCCAUAUAAAUGCUCUCAUUCUCGGCAGCUCUUCAGUGGAAGCCCUAAAACCCUAGAGGGAGAGAGAUCCGUGUCCGCCAUCAACGCAACCAUGGGUACGGCGCCGUUUCACCAUUUCUCUCUUGCAUUCAAGAAAUCGUCCAUUUUCCGGAUUAUUUCUGAUUAAUUAACAUAUAUUUCUGUGUAAAAUCAGGGGCUUAUACCUACGUUUCGGAGCUAUGGAGGAAGAAGCAAUCGGAUGUGAUGAGGUUUCUGCUGAGGGUUCGUUGCUGGGAGUAUCGUCAGCUUCCUUCCAUUGUCCGGGUUACCAGGCCUACCCGACCCGACAAGGCCCGCCGCCUCGGGUACAAGGCCAAGCAGGUCCGUGGAAUAGUCAUUUUUUUUUUAUAAAAAGUUUCUGUGAUGUGAAUUUUUUGUUGCUAGGAUUUUAGUUUGCAAUUGUUGUUUAGAUUUUGUACUAAUGCAGCUGAUUUUGAUUUAUUAUUGAUCCUCAUAGACUUACUGCUUAUGUUACAAGAUGUUUGGAAAUGGUUGGCUAAUUAUGAUUUUUCGUUGGGUUUUGUACGUAAUUAUCUGCUUAAGCAUUAUUUUGUUGGGAUUCAUUUUGAAAGAUUAUAAGAUGCUCAUUUGCAUUUUUUCUUGCACCAUUUCUUGGUUUAAGUGAUAAUCUCUGUGUUUUCUUUAAAGUUGAUUAGUAUUUUAAGAAUUGAGGGCUUACUUGUAGGAACUAAGGGAUGAAAUUGUAAUUGGUCCAACUUUUCGGAAUUGCAUAAAUAGCUGUAGCUAUAUGAUAUUACGACUGUAUAUAGAAUGUGGUUAAUUUUUUGUGGGAUACUUUCGAGAAAGGAAUCUCUACAGUUGACAUCUCCUUACCGAGCUCGUUGCGUUAUUUUAGUUCAAGUAGAUAGACUGGAACUACUACAAAAGUUGAUCUGUUUGAGAAUGUAUCUUAUCCUGCUACCUUGAUGCUUUGCAUUUCUUUUCUAUUCCUUCUUUUGUGCUUGGAACAAUAUGACUGUAGAUUCAUCUCUUUUGGGGCUAAAAUUCCUUAAAGUUGCAAUUUUGGUUUAUAUGAAUUGUGUGAUGUGUGGAAAUGAUCUUAAUGAUUUUGAAUAAUAGACGAAAUUGUGAUGUGCUCGUAUGUUUCUUCUGUUGUGCUUACCAUCAUUACUCAAUUUGUUAAGGGUUUCAGUCUAUCCCAACUUUUAAUAUGCAGUAAGUGAUUGAUUUACUUUUCAGGGUUAUGUGGUUUACCGUGUACGGGUGAGACGCGGUGGAAGGAAGAGGCCAGUUCCCAAGGGUAUUGUUUAUGGGAAACCCACAAACCAGGGUGUUACUCAGCUGAAGUUUCAGAGAAGCAAGCGCUCAGUUGCAGAGGAGCGAGCUGGAAGAAAACUGGGUGGUCUCAGGGUUCUCAAUUCUUAUUGGAUCAAUGAGGUGUGUCCUGAGAGUUUGUUCAUUAAUUCACUUAAUCAAGAAUACCUUCUAUUAGGACUUCAAUGAAUUCGAUGUAUAUGAGUAGUUGAAGUAGACUUGUCAGAGCUUUUUUCUCAAGUAUAUGAAGAUAAGGCUUCAAAUUUUCCGUGCCUUGCACUCUCAAUUGCAGGACUCUACCUACAAAUACUAUGAGGUAAUCUUGGUUGAUCCUGCCCAUGCUGCCAUCCGCAAUGACCCUAGGAUCAACUGGUUGUGCCAGCCAGUCCACAAGCACAGAGAACUUCGUGGACUUACUUCAGCAGGGAAGAAAUACAGGGGUCUUCGUGGAAGGGGGCACUUGCACCACAAAGCACGACCAUCAAGAAGGGCUACUUGGAAGAGAAACCAGACUCUCUCCCUUCGUCGUUAUCGCUAAUCAUAGUUGUGUUUUCUUGGUGUGUUCCCUAAUUCUGGUCAGCAAUUGUUUGCUGAACAUGCUUAUUAGUUUGUCCGCGAUCGGAAUGUUGAGUUGUUAUGUUUAGCACCUUGGGAAAGAUCACAAUUUUGUUAUGGCUGACGUUUUAAAAUAUACUUAUCUUGCAUAUUGAUGGUUUAAAGUUCUUCAGUCCUAUUUUGAGCCUUUGUGGCUGAAUUCUUUUCUUAAAUCGACCUUUCUGAUAGAGCAAGUUAAUUUUGAAUGGUAUCUUCUGUUUUAGUGUCAGCGUUUUUUAAUGAGCUUCUGUAGGAUUAUGUUAUGUCCUAUUCCAGCUCAGUCGUGCACAACAUCCAGUAGUUGGAAUUUUUAGGGGAUAGAACGCAAUGAAGUGUAUUGCGUAUGAAUUUUUAGGGGAUUCAUGUAAUCUAAGCUAACUAGGAUAGAAUGCAAACUUAAAUUUUAAGUAAAAAUUCCUCACUGACUUGUGUCUGAAAAGUUCUUUUGCAUCACUAGUACACAGCCGAACAUGAUGUUCAACAGUUCAAGUGACUAAUCUGGGAUGUAGAACGCGGAAUGGACCAGCAAGAUGGAUAGAAAUCUUGGCUUUCACAGGUCCUAAUAUGGAGAGGAAUUCAGAGAAGUAAAAGCAGCACAUCAUAAUGUCUUGGUAAUUAUAAGCACCCUAUCAUUUGUGCAUAACCUGUGAAUCAAGUCUAACUGAUAUAUGAUAUACCUCAACCACACUAGGAAUCCAGGACAUCCAAGAGCAAGUAAAAUGAACAUUUGCUCUACUAUAAAACACAAACUUAGAACUACUACUGAUUUAUCCACAACUUUCCGCUUCUUUGGGUGGAGGUCUCCAGAGCUUCGACAAAGGAGUUGAGGAAGCCUAGCUAGUUUCCUGAAAAGGAUGAAGCAUCAGUAUGACCUGUCUCAUCGACAACAAUACAUAUUUAAUACUCCGUUUAGAACGAUUGACUAAUUUCAGACAGUAAUUAACGUAUAAUUAAGAAUUCUUCAUGACUGUUGGCCAGCUUCAUAAUGAACCACAAAUUGCAAAAAUAGCAUGGCAGUCAAGAACAAGUUAUCAGAGUGGCAAAACAGAGGCUAUUAGUCAGUUUAGCUUCUAUUUAAGACGCCAAAGACAAUUUUUUCAACAAAAGUUAUAUUUGACUGAAGUAUCCCAUCAUCCAUGACAAGUUUGCCAUGAAGUUGCUAUGAAUAAUCUGCCAAAAAUGAUAGCAAAAUUCUUUGGAAGAGAGACACAUACCCUAUAUAAUUGACAGUAUGGCUACUCAGGCAUUUCUGUCACACUGCAACAUAAUGCUAAACAUCCUAGUAAAAAUUUAACACUCAGCACGCAGCAGGUAAGUUAUUAGUGAUAAGCAAACAGGAGUAUUACGCCCCAGAACGGUAACGCAAUCUUAAGUUAAAACAUGAACUUUUGUAUAUGGAUGAUGGCGGCGAUGGGUACCAUAGCUGCAGCCUGGUUGACCAUAAUCCUGGAGAUUAGGCUGAAUAGGCUGGAGGCGAUAUUGGUGAAUGUUUAGAGGUAGGUUAGCAAGUUGAAGCACUUCACUUGGCUGCUCUUCUCCAGAAAAUGGGAAUUGAUCCAGUAUAGCAUGCUGUCCUACUAGCUUCAAUUCAGUCAUUGCCUGUUGAUGGCUAUGCUCUAGUUCCACACGUUGCUUCUGAUAGUAAUUACUCAUCAACUGCUCAAGAAACACACGUUUAAUGAAGUAAAAAUUGACCAAGAAUGAAACAGGUGCUCCUGCUAAGAUUUAAUUAAUUUCUUAAUUGAAAAUUGAGAUGUGAAACUUUGUAUAGACUAUUGAUCAAAAGCCAUCAUGAUAAAAUAGAAAGAUAAGCAUUUCUCUAAUUGCUUUUGUUGAUAAAAGCCGUCAUGAAUAACUUUUGUUGAGAAUUUCUCGAAGAAAAGGACUGAUGUUAAAACAUUUUAUAGAACUGAUGAUCAUUCAGAUAAGCAGGUAGCAUUUUAGUGACAGUAGGCUUCCUUCUGUAUUAAAAACUUACCCAGGUGCACAUUUCUUGGUUUUCUUUCUCCAGAAGCUUUUCCUAAAAAAUCGAAAAGAAAGAGGGAUUUAAUUCAGCGCUGGUUCCUAAACGCAUACAUAGUAGCUGAAACUGAUAAAAGAAAGAAACAUUGAGAGAAGUAGGAUUAGAAUGCCACAUCUAUUACCGUUCGCUUCAGAUUUUCCAGUUGCUGAUCUAAGAGUUCAAACUGCAAAAGUAGAUAAUAUUAGCUGCUGUAAGUGCUAUAGUGACUUGCCUCCAUCUAAUAGCAGUUCAACAGCACAACAACAAGAAUAGAAAACUAUGCAAAGAGUGCACGAUCUCAUGAUAAGAAAAUGAAGAUGGAAAUUUUAACAAGAAAAUCAAGAUUCCUUGUUUAUGUAUUAUGAAAAUUGAAGAAACAAAAAUACCUUUCUUGCUCGGACUUUGGUCACGGAGAGUUCAAGCUGCUGCUCGAGUUGAUUGAGCUCAUCAUAGUGAGCAGAACUCAAGUCAUCACCUUUGUAGCGCUGGAGGCUUAACUGAAGAUUAAGGGUCUCACUUUUCAUCCUUUUCAGCUCACCAAAAACCCUUUCCUGCAAGUUGUAAGGCCAAAGGAAUAGGAUCAUCAUGGAGGGCUACUGAGAUUUGAGGAGCAGCACAAAGCAAAAAGCAUGAUAUAGUACUUACAUUGUGUGAUUUUGCAAGGUCUUCGUGGUCUGGAAUGGAUGUUCCUUUAGUCUUCAAGUACCUUUCUAUGAUUUGGUCAAUACUGAGCAAUAUAACAAGUGUUCCAAGUCAUUCCUGGAAAUGUGUUAUCAAUCCAAUGCGUUUUGCAUAUCUAGAUCCUAGAAAGAGUUUGCAGAAGACUAAAGAUUUGAAUUUUAUAUUUCCAUUUGAAAUUUUUGAUAGCAUUAUUUCUAAUAUUUGGCUGAUUUUAUACCCGACAUAAGUAAAGUAAAUCAAAAUGAACUGGUCUUUCUGAUCCUGCUGACACUAAACCCACCCUCAAGAGAAAAUAUUAACUCACAAAAUAAAACUGGACAUAAGCUAUACAAGCAGAAAAACUUUACCCAAGAACACAAAAAAAAAAAAAAAUUAUCCAAGAAAAUGGGAAUAUUUCUGUUUCCGAAUUUUAGCCUAAAAUGAAGUGAAAAAAAAAUGAAUUGCUUUCCAUGAAAACAAGAAAGAAAAGAAAAAUCUCAAGAAAAUUUACCUUAGUAUGUCAAGUGCAUCUUCCAGCAUGCGAAAAACAAAAUAAGAGUUAAAUUUUUGGUCAAAUUUUUGAAGUGUUUUCCCAAGAAUGAUGUAUAGUUUGAAGGAUUUGGUACAAGAGCAAAGUAAUUUAUUCUCAAUUAUCAAAUCACAAAUAGUUUAAUCAUGCAUCUUGGUGAGAUUAUAGUGUUAAGAUGUUCAUCAGGUAUAAGAAUUGAAGUGGCCAACCAAAAUUCACAUCUUGAUAACAAAACCCUAACUUUUUCCAGAAGUUGGAAACAUGUUAGUCAAACCAGUCAAGGUUCUCAACUUAGUCUCUUUUAGCCCUUUUGGUAGUGUUUGUUGGAGAAGCAUGAAAGCCAUCAUUAUUAAGCAGAAGAGCAGGGGGUGCAUGUGUUGCAUGUACUCCAACAUAAGUAAAAGCUGAGAUCUUUGCACAUGGAGAGAGCAGUUUUCGAGUUUAGACCACCAAAAAUAGGGGUCAAAUUACCUUGUUCAUGCAUUAUAUUUUGAUACAUGCAAAAAUUAUUCUUUAACUCCAAGAAAUAAUAAGAAGAUUAGAUGCCCAGAAAAGAAGCUUUAACCACUUGGAAAACAAAAAGGUUGUUUUCUUGCAUGCAAACCUGAAAAAUUAAGCUACAGAAAAAGAAAAAGCUAGGGAUUGCCUAAAGAUGCAAGAAAUAUCAUGGGAUCACCUCAGGGGGUGAGAGCAGUACUCAAACAACUUUCCUUUGUUUGAAAAGAUGAUGAGGCCGAUCUGAGCAUCACAAAGCACUGAAAGUUCAUGGGUUUUCUUGAGCAGCCCGGAUCUUCGCUUGGAGAAGGUGACUUGCCUGCUAGUGUUGUUUUCAAUCCUCUUCAGCUCUAUUUUACCUCUACCCAUCCUUACCAAUCUUUAAGGAGUAAUAUUAUUGUCUUCCCUCUAAUUGGAGUUAUUAAAAAAAACCCCCACUUCACCUGUUGAAUUUUCUGGAUUAGGGAAAACAAAAUUAUGAAAAGGAUUGACUCAAAAAGAAAUUGGAGAAUGACAAGGAUGCAUAUAGUUCAAAUUAGAUGUUAAAAAAUUUAAAAUAUGUCUUAAUAAAGACUAUGCUGAAGAUGAAAAAGAUUGGGAGAUCAAGAAAAUUUCAGCUUAAUCGGAAACAUAUACAAGUUCAAAAAUGAUGACUUACUUUGUUAUUUGUCUAUAAUUCUCAAACAGGAGAUGGAUGAAGAAGGGGAUAUGGUUGAGAGAGAAGAUAUUGAUAAGAAAGAAGGUUAAGCUUCUAAGAUGAACUUACCUAGGUAUUAUUAUUAUUAUUAUUUUUUUGCUUUCUUGUUGGAUCUUUUUGAAGUUUUUGGUAGACUCGUGAAAUAGAAGCAAACCCACUUUUGUAGUUAUAUAAACAUACUAGUUUUAGAUCAUAGCUCCUAUUUUUUCCCAAAACCACAAUUUGGUGAGGACACGAGGGAUUAAAUGUUGAUCUUGGUCUUCCUUUUACUAUCUCCCCCCCCCCUCCCCUCAAUUUGUUUCUUUAGAACGUGAUAAAAAACAAUUAUACACACACAUAUAUAGCAGAAACAAUUAUGAAGAGUUAUAAUGUACCCAAAAAAGAAAAAAAAAUGAUGAAGAGUUAUAUUCGAAAAUUGACAUGCAUGAAGUGUUUGGCAAAGUUGUAAUGCAUUGGAAGGACAAUGAGGUUAUGUUCCAAUCCUUUUGAGGUGCAUGGCAAACUUGUAGCAAAAGUCCAUGUGCUACUUUCAUUUUUUUCAUUCACAUUUUGAGGCUUGUUACUAUUUUCAUUUACCAUCUCAAUGCAAUCCGGACAUUGAAUUCUUAGUUGAUUAUCAAGGAAAAGAAGAAAAUGAUUACCAUUCAUUGUUGAAAAUACUCCUAGGAAGAUGAGGACCGCCAUGAUUUAGGUAAUCAAAAUUUGUGGUAUGAUAUGAAUUCUUUUCAAUAGGAUAAUAUAGAGCCUAUAAUUGUAAAAUGAAGAUAAAAAUCUUAUGAUUAAUCAAGAUUAUAACUAAUCGAUGCUUGAUCAGGUAAAUACUAAGCUGAAGCUAAAAGAAGGUCAUACUUACAUGUGUUGCCAAUAGAUUGACAGAAAUGAAACUUCUUUAACAUACACCACUAAUAUCAAAUAGCUUAAAACUUAUGCAUCCAUCCUGUGGUCCAAGCUAGAUCAGAAAAUAAAUGUUCAUUGUUUCGUUUGUUUGCCUAACUGCAAUGAAUGUAAAAUUUCUAUAUGUUCUUGGAGUUUUUGCUGCAAAUUCAUUCAGCAGCUUGUGUUGCAAUCUCCUCUAACAAAAAUGUCGUUGUUGACAUAUAACCACCAAUAUUGUUUCAUAAUAACAUGUACCAAUUCUGGCAUCUUUGUAAAAUGACCAAGUGAUUCGACUCCUAUAUAUGUUUUCCAAUCACUCUUUGACCAACACAAAAAAACUCCAAAUUACUCUCCAAGGACUAGCUAUAUAGUAUUACUUUCCACAUGAAUUUUCCCCACCCAACCAUAAAAAUGCAUGCAUGGUGAGUUCAUAAAAGAGAGAAAGAAAAAAAGAAGAAUGACAAUUAUAUAUCACAAGAGUAGCUCAACAAUUCCUCGUUAAUCAUAAGGCAAUUAACCAUGAUUACAAAUCCUUGGAGACUGAACAACUCUCUUUGACAAGUUAAUUAUUAGCAUCAUCCCACAUGGAUAUAGACAGGAGGAGUUUCUACUUGGGGAGGAUGCACUUGCAUGCAUGCUCGACAUGAAUAGGGAUAUGACAAAGUUGAACGUUAUGUCAUUGAUCAAUUCAAGAGAAAGAAUUUUAGUGGACAGGGAUUGAAUAAUGAGAUCAUGAUUUUUCCCAAAAAGAGAAACUGCCAUCUAGAUAGGAAUUUUGACCCCUUUUCCAUCCUCCUCCUAACCACUCCACAAGGACCACUUUCAGUUUCACAUGGCAUUUCCAGGCCUUCUUCAAUAGUUUGAUAAGCAAGAUUCCCCAAAUGUAUUAAUUGCAAUUUGUUGUUUUAGAACACUAAUUUCCUAGUCUAUCAUCAUCAAACCAAGAGAUUUAUAAUAGUUUCUAUCAUAAUUCGCCAACAAUCAGCUUUCUCAUAAGUGCAUAUUAGAAGAAAAACCCUUCAGCAUUGGAUUAAAUUUGUUGUGACUAAGCUCUCUUAUCCUUCCCAAUACAAAGAUUGUCACCAACUCCUCCCCAUGCAUAUAGUUUUAGAAAGAAAAACUUGACAGACACCAGGCCGUAGUACAAGCAGGGUCGGAACUAGGGGUCGGCGGGGAGGGCCCCGCCCCAAGCUUCGGAAAAUUAUUCCUUCUUGUUUGGAUUGUGAUUUUUUGUAAAAAAAAAUUUUACGUUUUCACGAACACAUUUUUCAAUCACCUUUUUAUCUCAUACAUAUCAAAAUCGUUACAAUUUUUUACAAAAACUCUUAAAGAAAGCAAUCCUUAAAAGUUUUAUAAAUUUAACUUUUUCCCAUUCAAAAAAUUAAAAAUAUUUUAAACUACAUACUAAUGAUUUAAUUGAAUCAAAGUUUGCUCCCUCAAAAGAAAUUUUCUGGUUCCAUUUACUGAGCACAAGAAUGAUUUUGUGUUGAGUUGCAGAACGGUUUGUUUAACGAGUGUCCUAUUAAAAUAUAUUUUAGGUGUCACAUUUUAAAAAAUAUGAGAUUAAUUAGGGAAAGUAAAUAAAUAUAAGGAAGUGUAUAUAAGAUUAAAUAAGGAAGUAUAUAAAUGCAAGAGAGAAUAAUAAUUGUUAGUAUGUGUAUAAAUAUAUUAGAUUAGGUGAAUGUUAAGUGUAUUAAUGAAUAUGCUAUGGACACCUGGUAGAAAAAUCCGUUACAGAAUGAUAUAACGAAUAGAUAGCCUAUGGAUAUUUGAAAUUUUGGUGAAGCAAUUUUACAAACUGUUACUACAGUGGUUUUAAUCUCGUGUCAAGAGCAUCUCACAUAAGACAAAAUUUCAACAUCGACAUCAAUGGAUGGGGUGCCUUUUCCAGAAAUAAAACAUGGGAAAGAUUUGUAGGUUCUUUAGAUCUAUUAUGCAGAAUCUAAACUCGGACAUCUUUAAGACAUAAGAAGCAUUUGUAGGUACUUUUAGAUCUGUUAUUUUUAGGCACCAGCCCUAAACUUUCAUCAUUCAAAUUCAUAUAGGUUGCAUUUGGAUUGAAGGAUUUGAAGUCCCUUCAAAUUGCUCUAAUUGUUUAGAUUAUUUAGGAGAUAUUUGAAUUUGUAAAUCACACAUUGUUACAAUAUUUUAAAUGUAUUUUGAUAACUGGUGAAUUGUGAAUUCAAACGCUUCUUAAAUAAUCCAGACGCCUCGAGCUAUUUGGACGAAUUUCAAAUUUUUCAUCAAAUUCCUCAAUCCAAAUAAGGAUUUUUCUAACCAUCGCCUAGUAGGUAGGUAAUAAGUAGUACAACUUAAUUAACAUUUAAACACAUUCAAAUUUAUUACCUUUCACAUUCCAAAUAAUUUUUUAAUUUAACUUGCAUUUUGUUUACCCAAAAAAGAAAAAAGAAAAAGAAAUAGCAACAACAACCACCAACACUAGUGGCCAUCGGGUGCCAAUUUGUGACCCGUUGUACAAAGCUAUUCUUCCCUUGGGUCACUUUCUACUGAUUCACUUAGGAAGUGUGGAAUCAAUUCAAGACACCAAUGCACACUUAGGAAGAGUCGAAUUAAUGCAAGACACUGAUGAAUAAGUUUGCACUCCUUCUGUUCUAAUGUUAGAGUCGUUGCUUGAAAAAUUAAACUUUUUAUGGAGACAUAGUUAAUUGUUAUAUUUAGAUGAGAUGGCACUGAUAAACUUAUGUAUAUAUUAUUUGAAUUCAAAAUAUUCUUUUAUUAAAUGCGUAUUGAGACUUUAAAAAAUAUAUUGUUUUUUCUAAUAAUAAGAUUAGAAAACAUGUGUUAAAUUUAAAAUAAUAAUUUUUAUUUUGAGACAUUAAUAAAGUGAAACAUAGCAUUAACAAUGAGACGAAAGGAUUACUCGAUCAAAUAUUAGAUACUAUUAGAUGUUUGAUAUACACCAUUUGGUACUACUGCACAUAUUGCAUUAGUACUAAUAAUCUAGUCAAACAAUAGUUGUAGAUCAUUUCUUAUCUACUGUCAACUUAAAAAAAAUAUAUGGUCAGGUUCACCACACAAUUGAUACUAAUGACCCAGGUGGGGCAUACAAUAUCUUCUCGUCCCCACACUCCUGCUCUGUGCAACUACCGCUGUAAACAUGGUCAAAAUUAGAAUUAUGGACUAUAGCUAUUUGGCAGAGCGAUGAGUUUCCUGAGUAACUUUUGUAUAAAUAAGAUACCUAAUUUAGUGCUUGUUGAGUAUUGUCUCAGAAGCAUAUUCUCAUAAACUUUGGGUUGGAAUACACAAGAAUGCUCUGUCAUCCUAGCAUUGUUGCCAACGUAGUCUCAAAAGUUUCUCUGCAAAAUUUCCAUAAUCCUCACAUUUCAUAGAACUUCAAAUAACCCCUCUCCUCCAUUGAAAAGAUAGGAAAGUAGGCACGAAUGUUCAAAGCUAAAGUGGUCUCUUUUACAUACUAAAUUAAAGAAACACUAUAUUAAGAGGCAAGCUCCAAACCAAGUCCAGAACACAUGAUAUUCUCAAGCGUGUUCAGUCAGCAUCACCGAGUCCAUCACUUCCAUCACCUCUCUUGGAUAUAGGAGCAAAAUUAGAACUAGGCUUUUUCUUUUGUGAAGCAAUUUCAGCAUUUUUCCGCAGGACUGCUCCAGGAGAUGGGUAAGGACGUUGCUGAAAGAGAGGACCCUGAAUUCAAAAAGUACCAGAAAAAAUUCAUUGGAAUGAAGCGAGAGACAAACAAUAACAGGUGAGCUGUGAAGUUUUGCAUGAGAGACUGUAUAAACCUGACAAAUAUAACUACCUACCAUUGAUGUGAUGAAAACAAGCAACUGACUAAAUGAAACAAACAUACUCGCACACAAGUUCGACCGCACCAAUUCUUACAGUUGUACUAAUAAUACCUUACUUUAUCCUCGACUGCUUAAAGCAAUCAGAGAAAUACUUACUAAAUCAGAUAUGUAUAUUCCUUUAAACAUUUACGACAAGAUAUUUCCAAAUGACACUAACAAUUUCAUUCUAACAAAAGAGUGAACAAAAUCUAGGAAUUUUUUUCCUCCCACCUCCACCCAUCUGAUUUCCAAUCCCACCAAAGGACAAGUCAUUCAUGUCAAAAGCCAGGCUACUGUUUAGCAGGAAUACCCACUGCUUCCCCAUAAAAGAAACAGGCAAGUAUGAAAAAUAUAAUUCCGGAAUUAAAUACACAAUGUAUACCGUGGCAGUGGUGUCUGCAGCCCGUGGUUGUACUCCUUUCAGGCCUACAACCCUGCAUAGGAGCAAUAACUAAAGUUGGUAAUAACUUCUUGCAAGUUUUGAUUUGUCUAAAUAAACUAACUAGUAAGAUAAUAAGUAACAGAGAAAUGUCCAUGAAGGAAAGAACAGACAGAGCAGAGAAAGAGUUUACAGGGUCAAUUACUUGAAUUAAACAAGGAAAAAAACAUACCAACCACCACGCGGAGCAUCAGAAUACGAGCUUGGAUCCAUGGGAUCCAACUCAUCAUCCUCAGAAUAUGAACGUUUUUUAGUAUCUCUUUUAUGUCCUCUUCCCAUUGGUGGUUUCAUGUUAGACCUGCAACCCAGAAGGUCAGUUAAUUCUGCAGGGAUGGACUCUAAACAACUUUCCAUGUUUCAUAUUAAACUAACUGUGGACAGGUGAAUACUCUGCUUAAUAUGGAGCCAAUUACAGAAACAUCAACUAUAUUCAUUUUUUUGCAUGAGAACACCACCCUUGUGCCUUCCCACAAAUUGGUAUAUAAAUGUGACAAAAAUCACUGUUCCAAUUCAAAAUAUCCUUUCACAAAUGCCUAUUGGACCAAGCAAAUAAGCAAGUAAAACCAAUUCCAAAGCCCUAAGACACUCCAAUGCACCUGUGCAGUCUAUUCCAAGGAGAACACUGCUUUAACUACCUAAACGUAAUUAACCAAGGACAUUUGAUUAUAAUAAUCUACAAGUGUGUUUGCUUAUAUGGCACACGCAUUAAGCAACAAAGGUAUUUCAAGUGCCGUACCUGUAUGGCAACAUAAAAUCAUAAUUUCAAGGUGAACAAUUACAAGUCGAUGGUACAGUUACAAUCAUCUCCAGAUCAGUGAUUCAAGUUUCCAGAUAUAGUAGCCUACCUUGGCUUGGAAAAUCCCUUGUCUGAAAUUUCUCCAGUUUUCACAGCAUUGGAGCCAUGCUGCCUGGUUUCCGGCUGUGUCGACAAGUAUUGGCUUUGAGGAAGAUUCAGAACCCUAAGUAAAGACAGCAGUUUAUAUUUGUAGAACAGAAAAAUACUUGCAAGAAGCUAAUCACUAUAAUUUUCAUUAGUUGAAAAGAAAAUCAUAAAAAGCUGUAGUGGACUUCUAUGAAAAGCCGAAGCUCAACUGUCACACAUGAGCUAUAUCUAUAGUUAGCAUUUUCAAAUGAAUAAGCAUCCAUCUAUGAUCACCUACUGAAAUAUAUUUCAAAUAAAACCUUCCACAAAUAUUGUCUUUACUCCACAGUUUUUUCAGGGAUCAUGCAUAAUCACCAGGGCAUCAAAUUCAUUACAACAUGAACAUGACGAAAGCGAUGUGAGUGAAUAUGAAAUAUAGGAUGAAAAAAGGGUAUUAUGUAUCAGCAGAAGCAAUUUGUAGAACAAAUAUAUCUAGCCAAUACCAAUGAAAAAAAUUUCAAGUCUUUAAUCACAGGGUAGACAUGAUAAAUGGACACUUGAAAACAGCAUUAACAAAAGAAACCAAUUCUUGGCACUACUCCCGAUUCUUAAAUCCCAUCCCUCCCAUGCCUUUUUUUUUUUUUCUUGUUUUUAAGGGCACAUUUUACUAUCAAAAAUCUGUCUAGUAUACUUGGCAGGUCACACCUUGCCACUCAUACAGAUUUGAAUUAUUUUCCCUCCAUAUAUGCAAUUAGUUUUACUAUCAAAGAACCUGAAUUAAUGGGUCUCAACACCCCAGCUAUUGAAGCUGCAUGAAAGGCCCUUUUAAGUAGUAACACUCAAAUACACGAGUGUAAAAAUUAAAUAAAGCAACAAAGGAAAGGAACAUUACAAAUAUUAAACAGAAACAGAACCUAAUAUUAGUCAUUUUCUUCUGUCAAACAUUUACAUCACCUAAAACAAAUUAUGUAAGUAGCAGUACAACAAAAAAACAAUGAGCUCAACCAAUGACCAUACCGAGUGCAAUGAUUGCAAUAACCCCAUGUCUGUACGAGGCCUACACCCCAUCCACCACAUCCCAUGCAUUUAUUUGAUAUUGAUGAUUUAUCACCCUGAGGAUGAGAGGAGAUUUUAGGUGAUGUUCCUGGGCGCUCCCACUGUGAUGCAUUGGUCAUCCUGUUGUAAUAAUAAGUUUGACCUGUGAAGACACAUGAAUCAUGAAAAGGAUAAGUGAGAGUGUUAUGUCAUCCUCAAAGGUUCCAGUAAGCAUUACCUAAGUGAAAACUAAAACUAUUAGAACUUCAGCAUAAUUUGAGAAGAAUCAUCCCGAAACUAAUGUAACCAAAAGAGGAAUCUACAGGUGAGCAGCCAUCACAUAGACCAUACCAGUCGUUUCAUCCACCGCCUCUUGCCAAUCUUCUGGAAGUUCUGAAUGUGAUGCUGCUGGAAACAUGGGUGCAGCAUCUGUUGGUCUUUCCCACUGACUUGUCCCAGAAUUUUCAUUAUAAUAAUAUAAAGAGCCACUUGCAGGAUCGCUUGCCUCAAUCUGAUGGAUAUUUCACUAAGUUAAACAUCAAAUAAGAAAAUGGAAUAUAUCUUAAUUUAGUAGGGAGAAACAGAGCAUAACUUUGUAUGAACCGCAUGAGGAGUUCCUAAGAAUUUUAAAGAAACCUCAAAUGACGAACUGAGCUUCAUUUAAGAAGAGAUAAUCAAUGGGAAAGACUUUGCAGUAUUGGCCUCCCAAGCAGACUUCCACUCAAGUAACCUUUCAAAUUUCCUAGUUUGAACUUUGCCCAACUCCAAGAGAGUUGGGAUGGGUAUUUACAAACAAUUAGGGCAAUGUGAAGCCAGAAAAUACUUUUCUAUUCUAAACCAGUGGAGACUAUAUUGUCAGUUGGAUCAUUCUCAGUCCUUGUUUUACCAAAAUGACUUAAGACGAACCAUUUUGUUACAGACAUUAAGCAUAUGUUUAGGCCAUGUUUCCUGACAUUAUUCCCCAUGUAAAAUAGCUGGUUCUUAGUUACAAAGAACAUAGCAUAACCACAUAGAACAGCUGUUUAACUGUAUGUCAUCCUCCACCAUCCAUUAAAAUCCAAUUUCAUUCAAUCCAUAAAUCAGGGAUGCAUAUAGAAAUUACUCAGAAAUACAUUAAGAAAAAGAAUUUAAAAAAAUCGGGAAAAGGAAUUAAUGCUCACCCAUCCUGGAGGAAGCUUCCCAAUUGCCAUGUUCUGAGAUGACACAGCUUCUGUACUCUAGAAAGAAAAGUACAAAGGAACAUUUAACUGGACGAGCAAAUAAAAGGUAAAACCAAAUAUACCAAGAUAAGAAAACACAUUUGACACCUUUGAGAGAACCAUACAAAAAGAUAUAUAGACACAUAUGACAGGUAUAUCACUUAAUGGCAAAACUAUUAACAAAUGUUAUUGUUGCAUCCUCAAGAUUUAUCGCUUCCAUAAGAGCAUGUUACAUCUUACAAGGUGUACAUAUCCAAAAAAAAAAGAAAAAGAAAAAAAAAAGACGAGGGGAAGAUGCACUUGCAUUAUCAGGUAGGGCUUGAUUAUUAAUUUUUGGAUCAUCUUUCAAUAUGCCUCUGGCUCUCAAUUUCUGCUUGAGGUAUUCAGGCAACUCCUUACCCACAGGCUUCAACCUGGAUUCAGCACCAUGCUCUGUAUUUCUUUGGCUUGUUUGAUGAUCAUCAACAUUAUUGACUUCAGAUACAUACACGGAUAUUAGACUUUGACCAGCUUCAUAAGAUAAAAAUUAAUGACCAAGGAAGAUAAUUUUACCGGUGGCAGUGAUAUUGGCCUUUGAAGUAACAUGAUAAGCACCUCCACCCGGAACACCGUAUCCAUUUCCAAUUUCCAAGUUACCUAACACAAAGAUCAACAUUCAUUAGCUGUUCACCCAAAUUUUGCUAAAUUGCAUUUUCUAAUAGUCAACCCUUUCUUUAAACUAGAGAAUAUCUGACUGCAAUAAAAACUGGCAUUUUGAUACUUUUCAGGAAAAAAAAUUGUCUUCCUCUUACAUUGCUUACCACACCCGAAGGUAGAGGAGAGGGCAGCGUACGUAAUGUAAAUAAAUUAUAAUUAAUCUCUCAUGUAAACCAAGUAACUAGAUAAAAACACCUUAAAAAAUCCAAAUUAAUAUUUACAUAGAAAAAAAGGAACAAAAUGACCUUAUGCAGUUGAAAGGAAAAACAGAGCAAAUAAUUGCAGUAUUAAAAUAAAUCGUUCUAUGGUACAAAAUCAUGAGUGUAACCUUUAUAAGGUGGAAAACAUAGCUAAGGGAUCAUACAAUAACAAAUGUGGAAGAAUUAGAUGCACUUCAAUCAACUUUAUCCUCAAGUCUUUUUUAUCUGAAUUCCUUAAAGUAGUUUCAAUUCAUUAAAGUAGUUUUAUCUGAAUUCCUUAACGUAGUUUCAUUCUAGACUGCAACUGAGCCUCCAUGUUAGCAAGGUUAAGUAUGCCAAAAAGAAGGGUCAUAAAACAUUCUUGGUGGCAAAACAAUGUGAAGGAAAGAUCUCGCUAUUUGAUGUGUUUGUAAGUCUAAGAAAUCAUGCGCAUUCUAAACCACUUCAUUAGCUCUCGAUUUAACUAGCAAAACCUUCAACCAUGAUAGCAGAAAAAUGAACAUUUGCAUGUUUAAUUCCAAAAAAGUGAGUGACUCAACUAAGAUAGACAAGUGGACCAACCUUCCUCAGCUAAGGUAGAUUUUCCACGCUUUAGAGCCAUUUGAGUACGAUGCUCAUUAGUCAUUUUAAGUAGAUGCUCCUGUAGAUUCAGAGUUCAAAAUGAACCUUAGAACAUCCAAAUGGAAUAUAGAAGGCUGUGAUUCACAUGAAAUGCCAAAAUAAAUAAAAGGAAAAGAAGGGAAAAGACAUAGCAGAACAUAGCAGACUCAAGACCUAAGACACCUUUAUAGCAUUUGGGUCAUGACGUCCUGAGAGAAUGUCUCUCUGCUCUUCCGAAGUUCCAUUUCCAUACCCUGCAUCUCUGAACUUACAAAAUAACAUGAAAUUAUUCAUCAUGUUUCCACCUCUAUUUGCACAGCUUCUAGGGUAAGUAAAAAAUGAAACAAAAACAAAACAAACCUCUGACUCUGUAUAAUUUGUUGAGUGGCAAUUUCCUGGAACAAUACAGGCAACCAUGUGAUUAAUCAACAAGUGAAAAAGAAUGGUCACUUCAAUGCCUGUCUUAAGACGAGAACAUACUUGCUCAUGUAGCACAGCAUUCUGAGCAGCAAUUUCAAUAUCAUUUUGAUUUUCUGCUUGCAGUUGAGAAGAGCUAAAUUCCAGAUAAGUCUGCAUCCUCGAGGUCGGCUAUUCCAAGCCCACUUCACUAAAGUCAAAUGCAAAAGUUCUUGAAUUUUAGUUAAGAGGCAUAUUAAGUAAACAUUCAAAAACAAAAAGGUACAGGAAAGGAGGCAGAAAGAGCAAUCUCUAUAUGUUUUCAUGAUAAUCACAUUUUCUGAUUUACGUAAUCCAUCCCUUCCCCUUCCAAGAACUUCAAUAGGUGGUAUCGUUAAAAAAUUAAAAACAAAAAAAAACACACACACACACACAAACAUACACACAUCUGAAAUUUGAAAUUGGUCCAUUCUUCGUUCCUCUUGAAAACUCAUCCGCUCUACUGCUACACAUAAACCUUCAGAACUUACAAUAAUCUCAUUCUGAUUCAGUAAGUUGUUACAGAUAUCUUCUACAUCUAUUUUCAACAAAUUGAAAAUCAUAUUAUCCUUACAUCAUCAAGUGUUUCAAAAUUGCCAGACUACCUGUAUGACCUGUCCAUUGUACUGUCUCCUGAAGCUUUUUAGCCCACAUUCGCAUUAUAUACAGGUCAAACUUUAAUCAACACUAGAGUAUUUACAUUCUUCAGCCAAUCUUUGUGACUAACUGAACCUUAAGAGAGAAUAUUAACUAAAAAAUGCACACCGUUAGUGCCAAUCACUUAUGCUUCAACCUGAAUAGCAAGCACAGAAGCCAAUCUAAAGCCAAUCCAGUGACAGGAUUUAGACGGAAGGUACAUUUAACCACGACAAACUAUCUUUAAGUCUCUAAAAUGCACAACAUUUGAUCCUUUAUGAACUCAAAAAUACUUUUUUCCCAAAACCCUUUACUAAUUUGAUUGCACAAUGCAGAUAAACUAACUAAAAUUCCUAAUAACACACUCCCUGUUUAACCCUUAACAACUUGUUCAUAACCUAGCUAAUUUUUGGACCAUUAUCAUUUACAUAUUCUUAACUUUUCCUAAAUUCCAAGUUUCUAUAGCAUAACCUUUGGUGAAAUUUCCAACAUAUUGUUCAAUCAUAUUUUUCAAAACUAAAUAAAUCAAUAAAACUUACCGAGUCUAAACCAGCAAGGCCUGACAUGAGUAAGUAAAACUAGUAAAAUUUAAUUGAGUUUCAAUGGAAAUAAAGAUUUUAUCCAAGUUAUUUAACAUCAUCUUUUCAUUCUAAAAUUUAUGAUUUUCAAUACAAACCCCCACCUAUACCCACGAAAGAAAAAGGAAAACAAGAAAUCCACACAACACUUAUUUUCAAUUGAACCAGCUAGCAAAAUCUGGUAAUAUCCAAUUACUUCCAAUUUUCCCAAAAUUCAAAAAAAAAAAAAGUAGCAAAUUUACCAAAGCCGUAUGAACAAUUUCGAAUUUCCCAGCUCAAGUCACUGCAUACGAAAUUUAAUAACAAAAUUGUAUCAAUAUUAGCUAAGUAUACAUAGAAUCAUAUUACAGGUAAUUUAAGAAAAUCAUUGAAAUCUGCACUAAAAUUAAACGAAGCCGGAAUUCGGAAUUGUUUAGCGAAAUUUUUAUGGUCAUCUGUUGGAAGAUUCUUCCGUUUACAGGAGUCGGUCGAUGGUUUUAAACGUUGUCACCGAAGAUAGAAAACUCCAGGCAAAACGACGUCGGAGUAAGGGAAGUAAAGCAAGUGUAUAUUGCCGAAAUAGUCCAAAAGUUUCCGAGAAUUGAGUGUUUGACCAUUUAAACUUGAAAAGGGAUCAAUUUCAUUGUUAAUCAAUUGUCCUACGGUGCGCAAGUAGUCAUUCAAAAUUCUGUAGAUGCUACCCUUCCAUUGCUAGGAUACAGCCUUGUUGUCGGUUGAUUACUUGAUUAUAAAUUUGACUAAGAAUAUAUAAUCAGUUUCUUUAUUGUUUUCGUUUGUUUUUUAUUUUAGAUUACAAAUUUUUUUUUAAUAGCUAAAUAAGAUAAAAUAAGUAAUCUAUCAAAAAUGUAAUUUUACUAAUUCUGAUUAUUCUUUAUAACCACUUUCUGUAAUUAACUUAUACAAGAUCUAAAUCAAACGAGAAAAAAAAUAUUAAAAUUGAUUUUAUAAGAUAUUAAUUUAUAGUUAAAAAUUGAUGAUUAAUUUAUAGUUAAUAAGAAAGGGAUUUAGGGAUAGAACAGCAAGUCACUAACGUAGCAUAAAGUUGGAAAACUUUUAUUUGAAAAUCAAUUAAACGAUCACCAAGUACACUCAAUAUAUGAAAAAAUUGAUUUUUGUAUGCAGAUAAUGAAAGGUAGAAAUGCAAUUUUAGUCCUUGAUGUUUGGUAUGUGCCCUAAACUGGUCUCUAAUCUUUGUAUCAAAACAAAAUGAUUUUCAAUGUUUUUGGUUUUAGCACAUUUAGGACUAAUAAUCAUAAUUAAAUUAGCGUUAGUCAACAAUUACAAUUUUGCAUUGUCAUCCCCAAUGUUUAGAGUUUGAAUCACUAUGGUCCAUUAAGUUUUAAAUAAGGAUAUUGUUUCAUGAUGAAAUGAGAUGCAAAUUAGAUCAGCAUUGUGUUAGAUUCUAUUAUUUAAAAAUGUGGAAAAGCUAACUAAACUUCAUUUUAUCCUUUUUUUAUUUUAAUUUCAUUCAUGCAUGCCACUAACUUCUUGUAAGCUUAUUCUUUUUUGGCAUUAUUGGUUUCGAAAUUCGUUUUGCACCAUGAAUAAUUAAUUGAUGAUGAUUUUAAUCGUUUGUUCUCUUAUAUUGACAAUUAAACACUCCAUCAAAAAUUUCAACGUUUUAAAUUAAAUUGAUCAUCUUCUUUUUUUUCUUUUGCAUUACAACAAGUUAUCAAUUGAGUUUAAUAUAAAGUACAUAUCUAAAACAUACAUUUUAGCCACAAAAAAUAAAUCAAAUCUACUCACACACACACACACUCUUGUCUAAUUGUUCUCAAUCCUAAGAUAUAUAUAUAUAUAUAUAUAUAUAUAUAUAUAUAUAUAUAUAUAUAUAUAUAUAUAUAUAUAUAUAUAUAUGUAUAUACAAUGUUCAAUUUGAUUUCAAUAAGAUGGACUAAGUUUGAAUUGAAAAGGGGAAUUUAGUGGAAAAAAUCUUGAAAAAAAUAAGUGUUGAAAAAGAACGGUAUAAAGUGCCAAAACUUUAUUUAGGAGAAUACACCAAGAUAUGCUGAGUUUAGUGACAUAAUUAAAUUCCUUCAGACUACAAUUUUACAACAUAUGUUAAAUUAAAGGCUAUUGGUGACAAAACUUGGCAAGAAAAAUAUAACAAAUUGUUUAGUAGUUACAACUUACAACUUCAAACAUUUUGCUAGGGAAAAGUAUAAACAUGUCACGGAGUUCAUAGCAAAAUAAGAGUAAAAGAGAAGGAAAGAAAAUACAAACAAGGGCUUCGUUUGGCAAAUGAAUUUUUUGGAUGUUUGUAUAAAACUUUACUGUAACUUACUGUAGAAGUUGUAGGAAAAAUUUUUGAAGUUUAUAAAUUUUUAAAUAUUUUGAAAUAUAUAAUUUUAAAAUUUUAAAUUUUUUUUUGAAAUUACUAUAAUUAAAGUUGUUAAAAAAUUUGUAACAGAUAAACUUGACAUAGUUUGCCAAAUAGGCCCAAGCUCCGAGGUUAAUCAUGAUUGGUCAGAUUUGUUAUUCACCACCUGGCAGCAUACUACACACUCUUUUGAGAUUUACUGGAGUUAAAAACAGAAGGACAAAGGUCACAUUUUUGUUCCCGAAGAUAAUAGGAGAAAUUAAUUAUCCUAGAAUCAAGAGUUCUUCGUUUCCUAAUAUCAACAAAGGUUAUCUUUUUGUGUUUUUUCCCACUAAACAUAUGCAGCAAAUAUUCACAUAGUUUAUAAUUGUCUAAUAACUAAGUUAAACCAAUUUACUUUUUGGGUUUGGGACAAAAAAAUCUUAUUAUAAUUUUGUAUGUAAUUAUAUCCUUAAAUAAGUCCACCUGAGAAAGCGAAAGUCUUAAGUAAAACAUGUUAAUUUCCUGUUAAUAAGACACUAAAAUGUUAAAUGUAUAUUGAGACAGUAAAAUGACACUCUAAUAGUGUAACUUGUGUUGAAUUAUAUCCCAAAUUAAUUUUCCAAAAUUCCAAAGUCAUGGAUCCAACUAGUACUGACGAAUUAUGCUAAAAUGACAAAACUACCUGCCCAAGUCCAAAUGCAAUUUGGACUUGGAAAAAGUAAUUUUGGCAUUUUAUUCAAAAAAAUGGCUCUAGAAGUAAAAUAUAGAUUGUGACAUUAAUAGUACAAUAAUUAAUUUCCAAAUUAUCUUCAUUCUUUAGCAGAUAAUUAAGUAGAUGAUAAUUAAGUUGAAAACAAAAUCUCCCACUUACCAAAAAAUUUUUUUUUUAAAAGUUGAAAACUUUCCUUAUCUAGUCUCCCAUGUCACUACGUUUUAUCUGUCUUCUCUCUAAACCCUACUACCCACCAAACUCAUCUACCGGCUAUAAAUAUCAAAAAAGCUCUAACUACCCAGAGUUCCAAACCCUAAUCUAGUCGCAUUAAAAAAAAAAAAAAGAGGAAAGCUAAGCUUCACUUGUCUUCUUCAACGAGGCCAUGAAACGUUGUCAAAACAAAGCUGACAAGAAAAUUCUUCAGACCGUCAAGAAAGGAUUCAAGAAAAGUCACCCCAACCCCAUCAAGGAACGUUGUUCUGGGUCUAAGAAACCGCGGAUGCGAGUGAUAAUGCCAAGGGAAAAGUUCCAGUUCUCCGUUGUAGAUUGGGCUCUUGUAAAUUGGGAUAAUUUAGAGGAGACUUUUGUCAAUAUGGAUUCCCUCUAUGAAACCGAUGCCCCAUGCAUGAUACUGCUACUAUGAUAGAUUCCGAUUCCGAUUCCGAUUCUGAUUCCGGCACUGGUGUUAGUCAUGGAAAAGAAUGUAAGUUUGUUCGUGUCCAAAUUCAAUCCAGUUGUUCUGGGAAUACCACAAAAGUACAUAAUAUUGGUUACUUUGGUUUAGUAAUUCGAACGUUAAUUUCUAGUAGAUGUUAGUAGUAUUUGUGAGCCUUUUGUAAGUAUCUGUGAGUAGUAUUUCGAACGUCAAUUGAAUUGUCCAUCGAAUCUUGGUACAUCUACGGAAGUUUUUUGGUGGAUCUUUUUUUUUUUGGUUUUUAUUUUACUUGAUCAUUAUUUUUAUUUUGCCAAUUUUGUUUUGGUUGUGUGAUUUGGAAACCUAAAAAUUGGGUUCCCAAAACUGAAGCUAGAUGUAAUGUGUAAAGCUUUCAGAUUUUAGUUAGCAGUUCGAGAUGAUGUUGAUCCAUGGAGUUUUUUUUUUUUUUUUUAAAUAUAUACAUCCCAUAAUUGGGUAUAAAUUUGGACCAAAAUUCAUAAUUGGGUUUUUUUUUUAUUGUACUUAAAGAAGAUAAGCAGUUUCAAUUUAAGCCAUUGUUUUGAUUUCUAUGUCCUGCUCGUGUUUUUAAGGAAAACUUGUAAUUAAAUGGCUUCUUAUUUGUACAAGAAUUGACAAAAUUAAAAUCCUAUGUAGUUUAAAGUAAUUGAAAAUUACUGAGGAGCUUGGCUAAAAUUGGUUUGUAAAGGCAAAUUAGUUCAUUGUUGAAGUAUUUGGCAGAAAUUAUUUGCACAAUAAGAUAUAUAUAUAUAUAUAUAUAUAUAUAUAUAUAUAUAUAUAUAUAUAUAUAUAUAUCCAAGUUUCACAUGUUAAUUUUCAUCCCAUUAUGGGUGAGUUAUCAGUUGUAAUAUUGUUCAAUUAUUCAGUAUGCUUUGAUUCCAACAAUUUCUUUUACUUGUAUUCCAAAAUGCCCUCAAAAUGACAUUUUGUUUCUUUUUCCACAAAAUUCAAAAAAGACUGUGGCAAAAUUUUCUUUUCUUUUCUUUUCUUUGCACUUGUGGUAGUAUCAAAGAUAUAUCCGGACAUAUUUGGGCUUUCAUUUUGAACGAAAAUAUUAAUUCUUUUAAACCUACAAAUACGUAUUUAUACUUUUGAGAUUGAAUAAUAUCUUGUACUGAUGCAAUACGAAAUGCAUAUAUAUGUUAAAUGGAACUCCAUUUGGAAUUAUUUUGAUGGAUUCAUAGCUAUAAAUCGUCUAUCAAUAAAUUAUACCAACUAAGCUUGUUUGAAUAAACCAUGCAACUAAACUGCUUUUAUAUAUUACACACAAAACUAAACUUAACAGUCACGUACAGAUACAAAAUUCAUAAUUUUGAACAUCAUGCAAAAGCCAUAGGAUAAACUUCAUGUCUUGAAACUCACGAAGAAAUGACAUUUACUUUUUUUCUUUUUUUUUUAUUUUACAAGUAAGAAACAAGCUUUUAUCUAAGUUGCUUCAUGCCAUGACUAAAAACAAAAGUUGAUCAAGUUCAAAAGAUAAUAUGAUUUUUUAUGUUAGCCAACUAAAUGAUUGGUUCUUGCUAAAGGUAAAAAAUGUAAAUAACCACCAUAUUAACGCUGUUGGGUGAAAAAAAUUUACCUCUAUGGGAGGUCACAGCAAUUUACCCAAAAUAUAAUAAAGGGUUGUUAGCAUGUAACACUUUUAGUAAACACACUCCUAAUUUAAGGACGAAGAAAUUACUUUUUUUUCUAUUUCAAAGUUCACAUUGGUGUUUCUUCGAAAGGCAAUUCACAUGUACCAAAAGGGAUUUUAUCAACCCUAGAUAAGAUAACAAAUUUAAUAUAAUUUUUCUCAUGAUAAAAAACAGCCACCAGUAAGGUACUUGUAGUACUCUAUGCUUGCUCAGUUAGGCUCAAUAUACCUUUUUAUUUAUGUUCAAGCUGGCUCAAUUAGGCUUAAUAGACCAUUAUAUGUAUGAAUAUGAAGUGUACGUACUAUUGGAUCUUUAGCAGGGUGGUUUGCUAUGUUGCAGCCCAUUGAAAAAACUAUUCGAACCACCCACCUGUUUGGCCAGACGAUUUAAUCCUACCCCUUAAUGGUGUCAAAAGUAUUCAUAAUAGUAUAACUUGCUCGAAAUUAUAUCCCAAAUUAAUUUUCCAAAAUUCCAAAGUGAUGGAUCCGACUAGUACUGGCGUAUUAUGCUAAAAUGAUAAAAACUACCCCGCCUAAGUCCAAAUUGCAUUUGGACUUGGAAAAAGUAAUUUUGGCAUUUUAUUCCAAAAUGGCUCUAGAGCAAAAAAAUAGAUUGUGACAUUAAUACUACAAUAAUUAAUUUCCAAAUUAUCUUCGUUCUUUAGUAGAUAAUUUAAGUUGAAAACAAAACCUCUCACUUAGCAAAAAUAUAUUUUAAAAAAAAAGUUGAAAACUUUACUUAUUUAGUCUCCCAUGUCACUCCAUUUUAUACUUUUAUCUAUCUUCUCCCUAAAUCCUAGUACCCACCAAAAUCAUCCACCGACUAUAAAGAUCAAAAAAUCUCUACCACCCAGAGUUUCAAACCCUAAUCCAAUCGCUUUAAAAAAAGAAAGCUAAGCUUCACUUGUCUUCUUCAACGAAGCCAUGAAACGUUGUCAAAACAAAGAUGACAAGAAAGUUCUUCAAACCGUUAAGAAAGGGUUCAAGAAAAAUCACCCCAACCCCAUCAAGGAACGUUGUUUUUGGUCUAAGAAACCGCGGAUGCGAGUGAUAAUGCCAAGGAAAAAGUUCCAAUUCUCCGUUGUAGAUUGGGAUAAUUUAGAGCAGACUUUUGUCCAUAUGGAUUCCCUCUAUGAAACCAAUACCCAUGCAUGAUACUGCUAUAUGAUAGAUUCCGAUUCAUUUUGCUAUUUUCAGCUUCAUUUUGCCUUCGUGUAAUAUAACUAGCCUUUAGAUAGGCAGUUGAUUUAGAUCUGGAAUUUGAAAUGGUGUGCUUGAUUUUUUUUCAAAUUUUUAGAAUUUGCAAACUGUUUUAAUAUUCCAUAUGCAACUGGCUUCACUUUCUCUUUGAAAUGAUAGAUGCACCGCCAGCAGCUCAUUUGGAUCAGCACUACUGGAGACAUUCUAUUUCUACGAAACCUUUCAGAUCACCGCACCCCUCUCCCCAAAAAAAACAUCCAUCUUCUCUGUCAUGGCAGCCAUUGCUCACAAUAAUCUCAAUGCCAAACUCACAAGGCCAAAACCCAAAUAAUCCAUUUCCAUAGUUUAUAACCGAUUUCUUUCUUACCACUAUUUAUUUGAAAUUUUUUGUUUUUGGAAUAUGUGGAAAUAAGUAUAUUCUAUAAAACUUUCUACAUGCCAACUACAUAGUUUGUAAUAUUAUUUACUAUACUAUAAAUGUUCCUAGCAUUGUACACUUAAUUUCCAAUGAAAGUUAUCAAAAAUAAGAUAAAUGGUUUAGAUUGAUUAAAAAAAUCUAAAACUGAAAUCAUUGAAAUAUCCUCUAAUUUUAUUAAAUAUAAACAUAAAUCACAAAUUUUAGAACUCCAAUUAACAUUCUAGAAAGAUUAGUACUAGUAAUUUUGGCAAAUUCCUCCAACAUUUCUUCUGGUGACCCUCAGCAAAUCUAUGGCAAAUUUUUUGUGAAAAUUUUUCCCCAAGCAACUAUUGUUCUACUAUAGCAAUACCUGUGAAAUCAUAUUUCUUCUCUUCCUUGUAAAUACAUUUGUUCAAUUGCUGAUUUUUUUCAUCUUUUACCCCAUGUAUCUGAAGAUAUUUGUUAGUUUUUCCGACCCAUUCCUCAAGAAUAGUACUGUUAAUCGAGCCGAGUCGAGUCAAGUAUUUGGCUGUUGAGCGAGCAGACGAGCUUUGAAAUGUGUUCGAACUCGACUCGCCAAAUGGAACAUAUGGCUCGAGCUCGACUUGUUUAUCACAAACGAGCCGAACUUACACGAGUUCGAGCUCAAACUCGUGCAAAUUGACCCCAAUAAAAGUCUAUAAUUUUCAAUUUUUAUACUUUUGAAUUGUAAAAUGACAUGUAUACCCUUCCUUAUCGAGCCUAAUCGAGCUACUCGAAUAACAAACGAGUCAAGCUUACUCGACUUGUUAAUUAAACGAGCAUAUCUCGAGUUCGAGCUCGACUCAUUUACCACAAUUAAUGAGUCAAGCGCGAGCCUUAUCGAGUCAAGCUCAAUCGAGCUUUCGAGCUGUUCGUUCCAUUUAACAGCUCUACACAGGACCAUCACCUUCAAUCAAAGAGCAAUUAGCUUUUGGAAUUUGAUUAGUUAUUUUCUUUUCAUAUUUACCCUCUUGUUCUUUUCAAUUGUCUCCUUCAUUCUUCAUGAGUAUGAGCUAUGAAUUCUCCAUUCUAGCAAAACUCUACACCUUCAUUUUUUGUCAAGCCAGUUGUGUCACUACCACAUUGAGCUAUUCUAACCUUGAUACUUUGACAUUUAAGAUCCUGAUUCUUCAUAGAUUUCUCCACACAUUCAUGCCUAUUCUUUGACACUCUUAGAGUUCGUUCAAGCCCUUUAGUUCAUUUAGUUAAUUGUAAUACCCCACAAAUUAUCACAGACAAAUAAUAAUUGUAGACGGUAGGAUAUAAUUUUUGUACUUCAUCAAAUAGAGUUUCUAGAAAUAUUAGAUAAAAAUAUCAUAAUUAUUAUUAAAUAGUUACAAAGGAAGUUAGACAAAAUAUUGACAAUUAACGAAUGAAAGAACUAACUAUUAGAACUUAGAAGCACAUUUAAUAUGUUUUAUCUACUACAUCAUAAAAUUGGACACUUGUUAUAUUCUAUGUAAUCGAUAACUUGAAGUUAAAACUUUGAGCAUGUUUUAGAUUAAGUAAUAACUAGAAUUUUGCCCAUGCCUUAGCACGGUCUAUUUUUAUUUAUUAUGAAUUUAUACAAAUAAGAAAAUUUAAAUACAAAAAUUAACAACAAUCCUUCAUAUUCAUUCACUUUAACUUUAAAAAAUUAAUGUAUUCUAAAUGUUCAAUUAUUUACUAAUUUUUAAAAAUUUGUUUACAUACUUUUACUAUAAUAUGAUAGUAUAUAUCAAAUAAUGUAUCCCAUAUCCAAAACUUGAUAGAUAUUCUUUUUUUUUUAUAAAUAUUAUUUUAGAUAAUUUAAAUUUUUAUAAUGACCAUAAACCUAGAACUAUAUAUUCACAUUUAAUUAAAUAGAAAAAAUCUAGCAAUCCACUUUUUUCCACUAAUAAAUAUUUAGUUUCCAACAAUAUUGGUAAUUUUAUCUUUGUAACAGUUAAUUCUCUUUUUUUUGCAUUGAGUUAAUUCAAAAUUAAGGGAAGAGAUGAUGAACAAUUUGAAUACUAAUCAAUGAUAUGGUGAUGAAAGGAACUAAUUUAUGAAAUAUGUAAGAUUUUGAUAAUUGUAAUUUUAAAAAGGUUUUACUAUAGUUCCAUGUAAUAAUUUGAUAGAAGUUAGAUAUCAUUAAGAUAAGAUUAGUUUUUUUUAAAGUUAUUUUAGAUAUUAUUAAGAUAAGAUUAGUUAUUUUUUAAAUUUAUUUUAAAAUUAGGGAUAAUUUUUAAAUAUAUAAUAUAAUAUUCAAUAUGGAUGAAACCCAAAUAAUCCAUAAUCCGUUAAUUCUCUUCAAUUAGACAUGCCAUAUAGGAGUGAGAAACAUAAUGGCUUCUAAUUCUAGAUGAUUUAACUAAUGAGUCACUAUCAAAAUUAAGUGAUAAAUUAUACUCCCCUCACUUCUACCUUUAUGCCACUCCAAGCUCCCUCCUGCCACUCCAACUCUCCUUUACCGCCUCCUUCCCUCUCUUUCCUGCUCUUGUCCCUUCCCACCCCAUUGCCACCCCUUCUCAUUUUCCUUUGCCCUCAACAACCUCCUGUUUUGCUUUAGCUAACAACCCCAUCACCCCUCCUUUCACCUUCAACCUAAUUUUCCCUCCCUUUUUGAUGAUUAGAUUUAGUCAAAAUGAACAUAAGUUAUGGCUAUUAAUUAAUAAAUUAAAGAAAUAUGUUGAUCUAUACGUAUUCAUGCCUUUUUUUAAAUUAACCUAAUCCCUAUGUCAUCUUCAAAGCUUAAUUCAAUUGGCAUAAAUAUUAAGCAUAUAACCAAAAAAUUCCUGUUCUAGUAAUGUGGAGUUUAGAAGUAAAAACUAUGAUAGAAAAAGUGAGGAGCAAAAUAGUAAAUUUGUUAAUGUAUCAAAUUGAAUAUUAUUUGCUUCAGAAAAGAUAAGAAUUUAGAUGUAUUUGAUAAGUUUUUCUUUUCCUUUUAUGAAAUAAAUAUAGUGUAUGAAAACUUAAUCCAGUGAUUUUUCUUGGUUAAAAGUUUAUAUUAGGUAAUAUGAUCACAUUUAAGUAGGAUUACCAUAUGACGGGUAGGAUUAUUCUUUUUCUAUUUUAAAGUUGAAAACUUUCCAAUUUUAAGUGAUUUAUUUAUGUUAUUAUCCAUUCAAAGUGCUUAAAAGCACUUAUUAUGAAUAAAAUAAUUCAAAAUUCUACAAAGAGCUUUGAUGAGAGUUCUAGUCUAAAAAUCCCUCCUGCAAUACACGUAUAUAUAGAUUGUAUGUGGAGUAUUUUUGACGGCAACAUAUUAUAGCACUCAAAGAUUGAAGACGUAGAGCAGCCUCAGCUUCCCGAAGUACCACAGAGGCGUCUAGGGUUUUAGAGAGAAAGAGAGGUCGGCGAAAUGGUUGAGACGGGAAAUAAGCCCAGGAAGGAGGAGGUUGUCACCAGGGAGUACACCAUCAACCUCCACAAACGCCUCCAUGGAUGCACAUUUAAGAAGAAAGCUCCAAAAGCCAUCAAGGAAAUCAGGAAGUUUGCCCAGAAGGCCAUGGGAACAACUGAUGUUAGAGUUGAUGUGAAGCUGAACAAGUUCGUUUGGAGCCGUGGGAUCCGCGGUGUGCCAAGAAGAGUCCGAGUCCGUUGCAAGAGAAAUGCAGAUGAAGAUGCCAAGGAGGAGCUUUACUCCUUGGUUACUGUAACUGAAGUUCCCGAGGGAUUCAAGGGGUUGGGUACUAAAGUUAUUGAUGAUGAUGAUGAGUGAUAAUUUUCUCAGUUUCUAUGGCAUUGCAAUUUUGGCUGUAUUAUUACAUCAUUUUGAUGUUAGUUCAGUUUUGACUCCCUUACUACAGGAGAAUGACUUGAAUAGGCAAAACUGAUCCACCAAACUUGGAUCUGAGAUAGCCAAUAUUGCUCAAGGAUCAAAGGCUAAUUGCUUAGAUUAUAGGUAAAAAAAAAAAACAUCCGUCAAAUGCACCUCUGACACGGAGUUGUUCUUGUUCUAUACGUGCCGUGCUGACUCAGCACGGCCCAAAAUAAAUUUCGCAGAAGUCAGAAAAAUGUCAGUCUGUGCAGGCUUGUGUCAGUCCGGGCCGCGCUGACUGUGCACGGCCCGGAAUGACUAAAGACUGACAGAUACUGCUUUUGUCAGUAUGGGCCGUGCACAUUCAGCACGGCUCCUUUGAAAAAAAUUUAAACCAUUGGUCUUGUAGCAGGUGAGAAUGCCGUAGGAGUGAUCCUUUGUGGAAUCUUGUAAGUUUCCUCGCUCCUCGUUCUUUCUUGGGAAGGGGGAUGUUUUUGUUGGUUAAGCAAAAUAUUUAUAGGGCUAAUGCUUAAUGACACCUCAAGUGCCAAAAGAAAAAUCAAGUCUUGGGAUUCUAUUAUCUUUAUAAAUUAUGCAUUUAUAAUAAUAUACACUUAUACAUUUAAAUAUUGUAUUUAUAAUACAUUUAUAAAUAUUUAUAAAUAAAUGUAUUUAUAUAUUUAUAUGAAAAUAUAUAAAUGUAUUAUAUUAUAUAUAAUACAUAAUAUAAAUAUAUUUUUAAAUGUAUAAGUGUAUAUUAUUAUAAAUGCAUAAUUUAUAAAUGAAUAUUAUAUAAAUGUAUAAAUUAAUAUAUAUUAAUAUUAUGUGUAAAUGUAUUAAUAUAAUUAAUAUAAAUGCAAAAAUGUAUUAAUAUUAUGUAUAAAUGUAAAAUUAAUAUUAUGUAUAUUAAUAUAAUUUAUAUAAUAUAUAAUAUUUAUAUAAAUAUAUUAUAAAUAUAUAAAAAUAUUUUUUAAAUAAAAUAAAAUAUUUAUAAUAUGUAUAAAUAAAUAUUGUACAUAUUAAAUAAAUAAAUAAAUAUACAUUAAUAUUAAUUAUAAAUAUUGUAAUAUUAUAAAUAUGGUGUUUAUAUAAUAUUUCAAUUUGUAAUAUUUAUUGUACAUUUCAUUAUAUAAAUAUUUGUAUAAUACAUAAUAUAUAAUUUUCAAUAAUACAUAAAAUUGUGUUGAAAUAUCAACAAUGCAUAUUCGGUCAACAUUCAAAUUCAAAAAAUAAUUUCAAAGUUGACAAAAUAUUGAUAGACCGUACAAUUGUCUGUAGCUAGCACCAUGAUCCCAUUUGUGUCAUGAGCAGUCGAAGACUAGGAAUUCUAAACGGCUUCACAAUUAACUCCAAUCAGGGCCCCAUUAGUUUAUCAUUUCUUUACUUUGCAUUAUUGGCAUAUGUAGUCCUCAGAAGCUGCUGCGAGCCAAAUUGGAAAUGGCAAGGAGAAAUCCCGUGCUUAAUUUUUUUCAAAGGAGCCGUGCUGAAUGUGUACGGCCCGGACUGACAAAAGCAGUAUCUGUCAGUCUUUAGUCAUUCCGGGCCGUGCACAGUCGGCACGGCUUGGACUGACACAAACCUGCACAGGCUGACAUUUUUCUGACUUCUGCGAAAUUUAUUUUGGGGCCGUGCUGAGUCAGCACGGCACGUAUAGAACAAGAACGAUCCCGUGUCAGAGGUGCAUUUGACGGAUAUUUUUUUUUUUACCUAUAAUCUAAGCAAUUAGCCAGGAUCAAAGAAGUUGGGAAAACAUGGCCAUCAAUCAAACAAGCAAGAUAACAAUUUCACAUUUUUGCCACAGUUAAUUAAUUGUUAACUUUCAUCAAUAAAGUACCUUAAGUCGAGUUUUGUUUUUUUUGUUAGAAUUGCUAUUUCUAAUUGAUCAUUCGAAUCAAUUCUAGAUGUAUAGGAUCUUUUUUUUUUUUGCUACCUGUAGAGGUUCUUAUUUUAAUUAGUGGAAGUUUCAAGCGAAUGCUUACCAAAAUGGUUCGACAAUUCAGUUACAUUUUGUAUAUUUAAUUGCCAUUUAAAAAUAUUUUCUUUUUAAGUUUGUUUAUCACAUUAAUUCAUUUUCUUGUCUUCUUCCGGUCCGUUCAUUUUCACUUAGUGUAGUAGUUGGUCGAAAAGCAAUUUCAGUCCUCUUAGGUGAGGCUUGGGCACAUCUGUAAGAACUUCUGAUCACUAUAUUUAUUUUCUUGUCUACGUUAUGAUUGUAAUUCUUUUAGGCAUAAUUUAGAACAAAUAAAUUUGGCGACUACAGUGGGAGGCUUACAGGAUAUACUUUAUGGAAUUGAAAAAAAAAAAUAAAAGAGACAUUGUAGAACAUCGAGAAAGAUUUCUAUGAAAGUUAGUGAAAGAGAUGAAAGAUCAAAUUAUACUGAAGUUAGAAAAGAAGUGAGAACAAACGAAUUAGAUCAGUAAAGAGAUUCGAUGUGGUGUAAUGGCAUGGCCAAGUAUUAAAUUCUUCCAUGCAUCAAGAAACAUUCAACUAUGUGAUGAACUGAUUAUGUUAUUUUUAGUCACUUUGGCUAUAUUAUUGGAAGAAAAUAGAUCAUUUUGGCUAUAAUUGGUGUGAAAUGAUCUUAAGUGAUUAAAUGAUUAAAUGAGAUUUAUGUCACUUUUUACUUGCAUUUUGUUCAUAAUUUGUAUAGGAGUUGGAAAUAUAUUUCAUUUGGAUGACAAAAUGAAAUUGACAGCUUUGACACAUCUUCGUAUCUCGGCUAUAACUUAAGCUACAAUGAUAGGAUUGAGAUGAUUCUUGAACCACUUUGAAGAUAAGAGAUAGAUCUACAAUUCAUGUGAAGACAUCAAAAUCCAUUUUGAAGGUUUUCCAGGUCAAAAAGCUGAAUUACAGUAGCUAAUUUUCUAUUGUCGAAGCUGAGACAAAGCAGUGAGCAGUCAAGGGUAUUUCAGUCAUUUCUCGGCCUACACAAAUCCAAAUGAGGUCAUUCUUGAUGCAUUUGAAAGCUAACUCAAACGGCUACGAGUUUCAUGUUUUGGUCAAGAGUUAAUUCAGCUUCCAUCAUCAAGAAAAGUUCAAUUGAAUUUGAAGUAGAAUUGGAGCAACAUUGAAGACUUGACAGAAAUUGCAAAGAAUGGCAGGGGAGUAAUCCCGCCGGAUUAUGGCCGGAUUCUGGUCAGAAAAGGCUGCUCCCCACUUGCAUAACUUGUUUCCUCCUCCAAUAAUUCAUAGCUACUGAUGGACGUGUGACACCAACUUUGCAGCUGUAAAAGUGAUGUUUGAAGCCUCAUUUCUUGACUAGAGUCCUCUAUAUAUAGCCAUGGACUUGCAAGAUUCAAGAGAGCUUGGCGAGUACAAGAAACACCACAAAAUGUAGUUUCUUGGUUCUUUAGUGUAAAGUAGUAUAGGAUAGUUUAGUUUUAGAUAAUUUAUCCUUUCUUGUAUGUUAGCUACAUGAAGAUGAAGAUGGAGAUGAAGAAGGCAAGGAAAGAGCUCAUGUGACAAGGGUUACUUUACCUUUCCAACUCUUAUCUUUUGUAUUGGAAUCUAAGUUUAAUUAAUAUACAAGUUUUGGAUUUUAUGUUUAUUAUGUGUCUUUAAAAGUUUAUGCCUUGGAUUUAGUUGAACUUUCUAUGAUUGUUAGCGUUUAUUCUUUGGCUAUUUGAUGCUAUUAUUUUGAGCAAGUUAUUUAGCACUUUAGCUCUUUAAAUCAUGAUUAAUUUGGCACCAUUAAUUGUGAUUAUCUAAAGGUGUUGCUUCUUCAAUGAAAAUUGAGAUUUAACACUAGUUCAAGAAAUGCUAAACCUAGGGAGUACACUCAUGAGAGUAGAGGUGCACCUAUGUGGUUUUAGUGAUUCAUUUCAUGUAAUUUCAUAGAAUAAAUGAACUUGUAGCUAAUUUCAUAACCAUGAGAGUAGGUAUGGAUUAGUUAUAAGUAUAGUUGAUUCACUACAAAAGUAGGUUUCACAAACCUAAGGAAAUUACGCAUAACUAGCCAAAAUAGUAGUACUCAUUGAUCCAAAUAUAGCACUUGCAUGAGUAGUUAGGGACACCAUAACCUAAGGAGCUUUUAUUUACCAUUUCCUUGCAUAAGUUUAGCAUAGUUUUAUUUCUUUAAUUUAUUGAUCGUCUAAAUAAUAGAGAAGGUUUAGUAGUGCCAGUAAUUGUCCAAUCUUUCUCGUGGAUCGACCGAUAUAGGCCCUAAACUACUAGUUGACCUGUAUACUUGCAGUCAAAACGGGUAUAAAUUGGAUUUAAACUUGUACUCAUAUCAAAAUUCCGCCAUAUUUAUUUUUGAUGAUGUUCUGCAAAUCUAUGUAUAAAUUACAUGUUAUAAAAUAGGAAUAUUUUUUCUUUUUAGACUUCUAUCUUUUAUAAUUUUAAGCAGCAUAUUAAUUUUACUUAAAUUUUUAAGCGGAUGUAAAUGUAUACCAUGUAAUAUAAAUUUAAAUUUGAAAUUCAUUUUUCGCUUAGAAGACAUACAUCUACACUUGUUAGUGUAAAAUAUCAUCUACAUCAACUGUGUAUGAAAACUUAAUCCAUUGAAAACUCAUAAGCGUUAAUCACUUAUAAAGGAAACUCAAUUUAAUCCUAGAUACAAUGUCUAAUCUUGAAUUUAAUGAGUCAAAAUAAAUCAUUUUAGUGAUUGUGGCAUUAUGCUAAAUUCAUGCUAAAGGAAGAUAGUGCAAAUCUCAACUUACGGAUCUUAAAAAGUGCUUGAACUGGCAGGGCCUCAAAUCUUGUCCAUCUUCUCUAACAGACUAGCUAUAAAGAACUUUUCACUAAUGCGGUAGAGUCAAUAAAUUAAUAUAUAUAUGCGGGCGGCAUUAAUGUUUUGUCUCCCGGAAACAUUAGUUACCACCUUUUUUUGAACCCCAAAAAGAAAAAAAGACAAUGGAAUUGCUUUUUCUUUUGUUUUUUUUUUUUGUGUAUAUAUAAAAUUCACAAGAAGCCUUUUCUCAAGUAGUCUUCCACUCUUCCCUGUUUGGGAACUGCACACAAAUAGAGCUAGCUUUAAGUUUCUUUAAACGAAGUCGAUUUGUAAUACAUAUUUUUAGCAUUAUUUGCAGAAACCACUUAUGAAAAGUUGCAACAGGAUUGGGACGCAGACGAGAAGUUAUACAAAUACUGGGAACAAAUCAAAAGGGUGAUAAAAUAUCACCACGUAGACAAUAGGGAGUUCAUGUUGAUUGAUACUUGAUGGUGAUCAUUGGGGACUCUUCCUGGGACACCUAUCAAUCAAGCGGCAAGGCCUGCCUGGACGCCCACCAGGAAUGCAAUUCGCGUACCUUAACAGAUUGCAAAUUGGCUUUGUCGUCCCUGAUGCACGGUAAACAAUAGGUCUGCGGCCUGGGGGAUCGGCGAGAACAUUGCCAAACUGAGAAUCCAUAAGGAAUUCUUGGUCGCCCGCUACAACAGUACUGCCGACCGUGGAAUCGCCCCACUCCCAGCUAAUGCUGCCAUUAACACUUUGAAUACUUGUUGCGCUGAUGAGAACUAUCGUAGUAAGCAGCAGCCAUGCCACCACUGGGAAGAUGCACAGGCUCUUUGAUGCUGAUUUCUCCAUCUCUCCCUGCUAUCUCUUGCUCUCUUGGAGACCUGAAUAGCUUUCUCUAUUUGUACUAAUAGACCUCGUACCUAGUUUACUUGAUAAUCGUAUUAAUGAACGUAUGGUUGUAGUUGGGACUGAGUUAAUUACUUUAAUUAGAGCUCCUCCAUGUUAGGUGGCCGUCAG
rnacentral:lncRNA from 1 species